ACAUAUAUUACUAAGUAAAUGCAGUAGCAGCUGGCCCACGUACAUCAGCUACUCUGUUCAUUGCCCUUCAGGGAUGAAACUGAAAUCCACGACUGAAGCGUCUGAUACUGCACAUAAGACAGGACGAAAUUAACUCUGCUGAGUGAGAUAUCAGAUCAGGUCUGUAAUUCAGGCUGCACCACCAGAGUCAAGUCGGCUCUCAGAUAUAGCACACCAUCAAUGAAGAGGCUGUCAUCAGCAAUGAACGUCGACCAUGGCAUUCCGAAAAGAUCACCGCAUCCCUGCGACCGAUCACCAGUCAUGGUGUUCUUAUAUCCGUACUUGCUCACAAAUUUUCCUAACGGCUUUGUCCUUGCAGCAAACUCAAUAUCUAAACAUAUUGAGCCUGCCGGCUCAUCAAAAAUAUGUAAUGAUAGGGCAAAGCUGUACGAUGUUGCCUGCUCAACCAUUUUACAGUUUGCCAAGAGAUAGAAUUUGUGCCCUGCGAGAUGGAACAUUUGCGAGCAUAUACCUCCUGAUGGGAAGAGUCGGGAACACUCAUCACGCUUUAGAUCCAUGUAAACUGUAACCUGUGGGCAGGGUUGAUUAAAAGCAAUCACUCUCACAAGUUUGAAGUCGUAAGCUCGCUCAGCAAAUUGCCAACAUGUUGUCCCGUUUGCUGCAAGAGCAGCUUCCAUCUGGUUUGGGUAUGCUUUGUGUAGAAGUACCUCAGCAAUAUGCUUAGUUAAGUACUCAUGGUCUAUAUCAACAUCUUCACAUCUUAGGACCUUCUGCAGUGCAUCACAGCUCAUAUUACUGAAGCGUACCAGUGGAAGUAAGCGAUAACUCAAGACCUUGCGUCUUUCCUCCUCCGAAUAAUAGUAUCGCACACGGGCCCACUUGAGCAAGAAGUAAUAAACCACAUCUUCACAUAACACGUGUAGGUCACUGCUCGAAAAGAUGGCUUCGAUUCCAACAAGAGAGAUGUUCAUCAGUUCAUCUUGGAACCUGAAAUGAGAUAAAUAAUGCUAUGAGUGACAUAUAAACAAUAUAAUUAGUGACAUCAAUGUCAACAUUUUCUCCGAAACAAAAAGAAAAAAUCAUUGCUCCAUCAAAUAGUGGUCACUUACUUAUCAAAAUCCUUGUAUUUAUUGGCAAGGAAUCCCUUCGCUGCACGUACUAAACUCUGAACUUCAGCAGCCAUUAAAAUGGAGCAUGGAUGGCCUAGGAAUAGCAGUGCACAUUCUGUGGUCAUAGGCCGGCUUAUGAGUAACUGAGUGCAGUACCUCAUGCAAGCAGGAACCUCAAAUUUGUCAGCAGCCAUUAAGAUGUCGAGCAGAAGAGUGGGCUCAAUUGUUGUCAGCUUUCCACUGUACAUGAAUCUUAUAAGCUCCAUAAGGGAAUUUUCUUCUGUUCCAAGUAGAAGGAAAACAGUAAAGGCACAAGGAUUAAGAGAACAGUGCAAAAAAGAAGUAAGAAAAGCUCCACCUUGGAUUAACCUUUUCCGAUCAUGGAAAAGUUAUAUCUAUACUAUAAUAGAAAACGUAUGAGUUGGCGGAAUCCAGACGAUAUCGACCAUUCGAUACAAUCAGAUCCAAUGGCUCAUAAAUUAAGUUUCACCUUGCAAAGCACCUCAUAAUUUCAUAUUAAUUACAAAGAUAAUUGAGAGAGUUAAUUAAUCCACGAAUUGCCCACAUCACUGACUACAGAGACGACACACACUAGUGGAUACUCUAUAUGAUAGCCCUAUAGUACUGGUUACCUACCGCCAUUGCUUCGCAAUCCACACUACGAGUUUGAAUUAUCAAAUGAAAUUAGUUACCAUACAAUUAAUUAUUAACCUCAAUAAGGAAAGUUCUUCUGUAAUUUUAAGAAAGUGCGAACAUGCACUUAGAAACGUGUGUGUGAAGUCUGUGUAACUUUCUUUCAAAAAAAAAGUCUGCGUAACUAGUCCUAUAAGUGGUAGAAACACUACAAAACAUAAUAUUUAUUUACCACAAAUAAUCAAUGUUUUAUAUACAAAAUAUAAACAGUAACACAACCACAAUAGAGAAUUAGAAUAAAAAGUAAGAGGAAGAAUGUUACAGUUAAGCUAUAAUAUUACCUGAAUCAGCAAUCCUAAUUCUUGGAUGUGACUCAUCAGAUUCUUUCAUCCCAUUUGUGAAAAGCUAAGAAACUGAAGCUUAUUAGAAACUUGAACUGACUACAUAACAAAUACAUUUCACAUGGCUAUGAAAAUUACCUUUUGAAAGAAAGGACUUCUUGCGGCAAGAAUCGCCGAGUUUAUAUAAAGGGCCUUUACUGCUGAAAUUGCUUUGGCUGCCAUGGUUGAGGAAGAGUCAAUACUCUGUCCUUCAUCAGCUGCAAAAAAACAAGAUCAAUGAGAAACAAGACAACUAGGAAAAAAAUGUACAGAGCGACCAUUAGAUAGAUUUUUUCUGUUAAAAUGCUUGGAACAUUCUGUUCAAUGGUGCAGAUUCGUUUAGUCAAUAUUCAGAUGUAUGAUAAAAUGGUUAAAAUUAUCACAGAGAUUGAACGGCCAUUUACUGCAGCCAGCAAGCAUGCCUGUAGUUCACUGAGCAAAGUGAUCAUAGAUGUUAUCCUAAUGACCCAACAAGAAUUUCAUAUAACUUUAUCAGAUAAUUAUUUGUCAAUAGCCAAACUUACACAAUGCCUUUUGAAAGGUUUCAGAAACUUGACCAAGAAUUUCAGAACCGCGAUUCCAGAAAGGACAACAAAGUAGUAGAACUUCAGGUUUCAGUUCGAGUAACUUCUUUCCAAAAUUUCUGAAUUGCAUCGUUGAGCACUUCCACUGUCCAGUCGCUAGUAUCAAUUGCAGUGGAUUGAUCUUAUUUUACGUUUGCAGGGACGAGUAUUGAAAAAAAGAAGAAGUUAACAGCACUGCCACAUCAAAAUGUUGGACGAGAUAUUUGUUGCAUCAUUGUCAUAUGUAUGGACACUGGAAGACAUUUGUUGUUUUCUCUGAAUAACUUUGAUGUUGAUUUUGUCGAGCCCAAAUUUCAUUGUCAUUUGUGUCAUACUUUUCCAUGAUAAGACCUCGGGUGAAAACUUACAAUCUAUGCAACAUGAAUCUGUAAUACUUAAACAUAAGAGGUUGUCAAGCAGCCUAAUUGACAUAUUACAUGCUUGAACAGGCAAGUGCGGCAACAUGGCAGUGGAGACUGCAGAGUUCUAAAGUUUUAUGUAGUUCUUCCCUCCACAUCUCCUCUCCAAAUAUAAAGGAUCAUAUUACUAACAUAUGAAAUAGAAUUAUGAAGUCGCGAAAUAUUUUCUCCAGCGUUCCAAAUUCAAAUCCAUAGUCAAGCACUAACAUAUAUAGUAACAAUAUGUUCUUCCGUUUCUGGGAUACAUUCAGAAACAUAAUAUAAUUGGCAGAUUUGGCAUGUGGAUAAUGUACAAUCUCUGGUUCAAAACUAAUGUUCAUUGGUUAACUACUUUUUCUCUACAAAAUUGAGUUCGAUUAAAUGAGCAUGCACCGCUGUCAAUAUCAGAGACCCUCUCUUAUGGGCCAAAGAAAAAAAUCGUAGAAGGCCAGUGAUCGUGUGCCAUUCCUCCCUCCAAGUCAUGUCCUCGUUCAAGUUCGCUGACGCAGGCACAGAAAGCCGUUCCCGGGAACAGAUUUGUCGCUCGGCCUUAACUCUCAUCCACACGCGCACAUAUUAGCGCAUUAAUAAACGAACAAGAGAUUUGCGGUGUCAUUAAAGAGGUGUGUUGCCGUGGUGCUCACGCCUUUGGUUACCGGGGAUGUUUCCUCCCGCCCUAUAUACCGGUCCCAAGGGAGUGACUCUUACAUAUACACAGCAUAUAUACUAGUCACCCACAGCACAUAACUUAUGGAUUCUCUCUAUUACAUUGUUUACACCUUAUGCUAAACCCUAAAAUUAAACCACAUUGAUAGAGGGUCAGCCUGAAGCCCUGAACCACUUUCAGAAACGAAACUAGGCCAAGCAUCACAAAUCAAGCGCAAUAACCCCACACGCGCACAGAUCUACUGUAUGUACGAAUCGCAUCAAACAUGCAGGUAAUUACAAACGCUAGAUCCAUCCAGCGGCGAUAAGGGGGAAGGAAUUAGGGGAGGGGGUGAACGAGACUCUACGCACCUUUCUCCUGGCUGGCGGCGUCGGGGAGAGAUUCUCCUCCUCCGUCGUCGCCGGCGACGACCUCUACCUCCAGAACGAUGUUCUAGAACGCCUUCGAAUUGAAGGCGAACUCGAAAUCGGGAACCUCGUCGCAGCGUGAGAACUGCAGGCCCGUCUCCGCUUCCGCAGGUACCGUCGCAGUCUCGCCGCCGGCCAUGCGCUCCGCGCGCGACGACAGGAAGGAUGCGCGGGAGGACGGCGGAAACCCUAGCUCCCGGAGGGUUCUUCCAGGAGGCGAGAGGGCCGUCGCCGGUCGGAUCUAAGAGUAAACAGUUUCAAUGACCGCGAACCUCUUUUCGAACAUUUUUCAGUUUGUCCUUUUUUUCACUGGAACCUUUUUCUGUCUGUUUUAAGAUUUGUUUUGAUCGGCUGACCUAUCUGCUUUUUUUUUGUUGAUGAGUGCUGACGGCUGACUUAUCUUUUUUUCUUUUUGACCAAUGACCAAAAGGCUGACCUAUCUGCUCUCUUUUUUUUAGGGGAACCAACCAUGGACACGUGCCUAUAUAUGUGAACUAAGGGCCCAAGGCAGACCGUCAGAUUUGUGUUGCAGUCGAGGACCAGUACAAGACGGCGUUCCAACAUGAAAUCAUCUAUAAAUUCCUUGGGAUGUCAUUCGGCCUCAUCAACGCGCCAACAACCUUCCAAAGCAUCUUUAAUCAAAUCUUCAAGCCAGUAUUAUGGCGCUAUGUAUUCGUAUUCAUCGACGAUAUCUUAGUACAACCCCAUGGAAGAAGCUCACCUGAUGCCCUUGCGCGGGGUGUUUGAACUUCUUCAGUAGCACUAGUUACUCCUGAAGAAGAACAAGUGUUCAUUGGUCCAACAAGAGCUAGAAUACAUGGGCCACAUUAUUGACAUCAAUGAUGUUGCUAUAGAUGCGAACAAGAUCCAAGAAAUUGCAGAUUGGGCUCAACCCACAACACCCAAGAGCUUGCGAGGCUUCCUGUAUUUGUUCUCUGCUUCUUAUUGCUCGCAUUUUGAUCUCCUCUAUUUGUGCAUCAUUCUGAAAUCCCUUUGAUGGGAUUGUUUAUUGAAUCUAGCCAAAAUGAUAGAUACCUUUGGAAAGUUGCUUAAAGGGAGUUCUUCCACAUCUUCUUUCCCGAGAAUAAUGUCCAAGUCAAGGCUCCCUGUGAUCUGCCUGAGGAGGCCGACAUGCAUGAGGAUGCAUCGGAACGAGAGCCAUCGCAUGCACGAGCGUUUCCUCCCUGUUGCAACAGCGCUGUUUCUAGGGUUCGCCGCCACGGGAGACAAGGGUUCCCUGCUGUUGCUGUUGGGCGCGCGAGGAAGGUUCCUGGCCCGUCUGGCGUGUUCACGGCGUUGGCGGUCGGCGGGUACGUGAUGCCGCCUAAGGCUCCGACACAGGCGAAGGCCGCGCCUGUGACGAAGACGGCUUCGGGGGCUGCUGGAGCUGCUCCGGCGCAUGCUUCGGGUUCGGCCGCGCCAAUGCCCGCGCGGGCCGCGGUGCCUCCUGCCAGGGCUACGGCGCCGUCGCCGCCCAAGGUUGCGCCCCCUCCGCCGCAACGCACUUGGCCUAGGCAGAUGGCCGGUGGGCGGGGUGGUUCUGCUCAUGGCGCGGGUGGCCGCGGUACGGGAGCUUUUGCGGGAGACAGUGGCAAUCCUCCUCGUGGUCAUUGGGGUGACGAUGGUUUUAAUGCCUAUGGAGAAGGCCUUCAUCGAGGUUCGUCGUCUACCGGAGGUGGGCGCGGCUAUGCUUGGACAGAUCACGGGGCUACCGGUAGAGGUUUUCAAGGACCGUCGGGAAACUUUGCGGAGGGUGCAGUUGGCCCCAAUAACCGGUCAUGGCAACUACUGGCGCCCUCCUCCUUCGCGUCCUCUGCCUGCUGCUACAGGUUCAGCGACGAGCCUAGAGGAGGUGCCUACUGAUGGUUCGGGCCUUGGCCGAUGUGAUGGUGCCGGAGCCCAUUCAGCAUGGUAAUAAUGCGUCUGACACGGAAAAGUCCGGUGGUGACAAACCGUCCAAGUAGGCGAUUAAGAAGAAAAAGUUGACCUGUUUUCGUUGGAGUGAACCGGGACACGUUAUGGCUGAAUGCAUGGCUGAGUUAUGUGAUUUAUGCCGGAAACCGAAGCAUAUGGCGGCUGAGUGCCCGCUUCUUUUAGGGCCCAAGCCUUCAGUUAACAUCUAUGGGGUCUGUUGCUUAGAGUUGAUGUUCUCCGAGUCACCAAACACUAGUAGAAAACAGGGCUUUGGUCCAGGCCGGGUCAGCCCAUUAGUCCCGGUUCAGUCUAGAACCAGGACCAAUGUGGGCAUUGGUCCCGGUUCGUGAGCCCAGGGGGCUGGCCGGGCCACGUGGGCCAUUGGUCCCAGUUCAUCUGGACCUUUUGGUCCUGGUUGGUGGGAUGAACCGGGACCAAUGGGCCUCGCUCCUGGCCCACCACCAUUGGUCCCGGUUGGUGGCUUGAACCGGGACCAAAGGCUCCCCUUUAGUCCCGGCUCAUGUCACCAACCGGGACCAAUGAGGUGCCUAUAUAUACCCCCUCACGCAAGAGCAGAGCACAGUGCUCUGUUUUUUCUGGCCGAGGGGGAGAGGGCUUUGUGGUGCUCUAGCUCACCUCCUAUGCACAUGAGGUGUUCGAUGGAAUGCCCGAGCCACACUACUUAAGCUUUCUCCUCUCGAAGCUCGACCUCCAAGCUCCAUUUUCCUCGAGAUUUGUCUAGAUUUAGCGGUCCGUCACGCCCCGUCCUCGUCUUCACCGCCGUCGAUCACCCGCGUCGAUCUCAUCACCGACACCACCGUGGUGAGCCUCUUGUUCUUAUCUUCUUUCUGAAAGGAAAAUAUUCUUACUUGUAUGUUUAGAUAGAUACUUGUAUCAUUUUCUUACAUUUAUUAUUGCAUCUUAUAUAGUGCGAUGGUUUUGGUAUCCACCCCCAUCGGCCCUCGUCCUGUCUAUGAUUCGGAUGUGGUAUGUAUAUUAUCUUUAUAACUAUUGGUUCAUUUAUUGUUUAUGAAAAUUAUGCCGACCAACGUGACAUAUAUUUUAUUUAUCUAGGAUGUAUGUGAAUCGGAAAUGCCAACCGACCCUAUUGUCGAGAGGUUAAAUUUAGUUGAAGAAGAAAACAAUUUGUUGAAGGAAAAAUAAAAAAAAAAUUGAGGAGGAGAAGAUGAUAUUGGAGUUGCAUGUUGCGGAUUUCGUCGAUGAUCACAAGAUCAAGAUGGAUGCAAUGCGCUUGAAGAUUAGAAAGAUUAGAAAAUAUGCCAUUCAUACCGAGGCUUGGUAUCAUUAUGUCAUUGGAUCAAUUGUUACCUUGGUUGCCAUUAUGAUCGCAUUUGUUUUCGCAUUAAAAUGUUUUACAUAGUUUCAAUGUAUGGUUUAAUUAAUUAGAUGCUCUGGAGAGCUAUAUGUUGUUAGAUGAGAACUAUGUAUGCACUUUGGUUUUAAUGUGAUGAUGAACUUCUAUUAAUUUGGACACUUAAUUAUAUAUAAUGCACGCAGAUGAACCGGCAAUGGAUGUACGGUGACAGACACACCCGCGAGUACAUUAAGGGCGUGCAUGAGUUUCUCGAUGCGGCUGAGGAAAACAAGCAGAAUGGUUUUAUGUGUUGUCCAUGCACUGAAUGUGGGAAUACGAGGUCUUACUCUAACCGGAAAAUCCUUCACUCCCACCUGCUUUACAAGGGUUUCAUGCCACACUAUAAUGUUUGGACGAGGCACAGAGAAAUAGGGGUUAUGAUGGAAGACGGCGAAGAAGAAUACUACGAUGACAACUAUGUGCCCCCUGAAUACGGUGAUGCUGCAACGGGGGGAGCUGGUGAAGAUCAAGAGGAAUCAGACGAUGUGUCCAAUGAUGCUGCAACGGGUGAAGCUGCUGAAGAUCAAGAGGAGCCAGACGAUGUGCUCGAUGAUGAUGAUCUCCGCCGGGUCAUUGUUGAUGCAAGGACGCAAUGCAUUAGUCAAAAGGAGAAGCUGAAGUUCGAUCACAUGUUAGAGGUUCACAAAAAAGGGUUAUACCCCAAUUGCGAAGAUGGCAACACAAAGCUCGGUACCGUACUGGAAUUGCUGCAGUGGAAGGCAGAGAAUGCUGUGGCUGACAAAGGAUUUGAGAAGCUACUGAAAAUAUUGAAGAAGAAGCUUCCAAAGGAUAACGAAUUGCCCGACAGUACAUACGCAGCAAAGAAGGUCGUAUGCCCUCUGGGAUUGGAGGUGGAGAAGAUACAUGCAUGCCCUAAUGACUGCAUCCUCUACCGCGGUGCAUACAAGGAUCUGAACGCAUGCCCGGUAUGCAGUGCAUUGCGGUAUAAGAUCAGACGAGAUGACCCUGGUGAUGUUGACGGCGAGCCCCCCAGGAAGAGGGUUCCUGCGAAGGUGAUGUGGUAUGCUCCUAUAAUACCACGGUUGAAACGUCUGUUCAAAAAUGAAGAGCAUGCCAAGUUGAUGCGAUGCACAGUGAGAACCGAAAGAAAGAUGGGAAGUUGAGAGCACCCGCUGAUGGGUCGCAGUGGAGAAAAAUCGAGAGAUAGUACUGGGAUGAGUUUGCAAAGGACCCGAGGAAUGUAUGGUUUGCUUUAAAAGCGGAUGGCAUUAAUCCUUUUGGGGAGCAGAGCAGCAAUCACAGCACCUGGCCCGUGACUCUAUGUAUGUAUAAUCUUCCUCCUUGGAUGUGCAUGAAGCGGAAGUUCAUCAUGAUGCCAGUUCUCAUCCAAGGCCCUAAGCAACCCGGCAACGAAAUUGAUGUGUACCUAAGGCCAUUAGUUGAAGAACUUUUAUAGCCGUGGAAUGAAAAUGGUGUACAUACGUGGGAUGAGCAUAAACAGGAGGAAUUUAACCUUAAGGCGUUGCUGUUCGUGACCAUCAACGAUUGGCUCGCUCUCAGUAACCUUUCAGGACAAACAAACAAAGGAUACCACGCGUGCACGCACUGUUUAGAUGACACUGAAAGUAUAUACCUGGACAAAUGCAGGAAGAAUGUGUACCUGGGCCAUCAUCGAUUUCUUCCGACCAACCAUCAAUGUCGAAAGAAAGGCAAGCAUUUCAAAGGCGAGGCAGAUCACCGGAAGAAGCCCGCCAUGCGCACCGGUGAUCACGUGCUUGCUAUGGUCAAUGAUUUACACUACAUAAUCUUUGGAAAGGGUCCCGGUGGACUAGCUGUUCCGAAUGAUGCUGAGGGACACGCACCCAUGUGGAAGAAGAAAUCUAUAUUUUGGGACCUACCCUACUAGAAAGACCUAGAGGUCCGCUCCUCAAUCGACGUGAUGCACGUGACGAAGAACCUUUGCAUGAACCUGCUAGGCUUCUUGGGCAUGUAUGGGAAGACAAAAGAUACACCUGAGGCACGGGAGGACCUGCAACGUUUGCACGAAAAAGACGGCAUGCCUCCGAAGCAGUAUAAAGGUCCUGCCAGCUACGCUCUUACGAAAGAAGAGAAAGAAAUCUUCUUUGAAUGCCUGCUCAGUAUGAAGGUCACGAUUGGCUUCUCGUCGAAUAUAAAGGGAAUAAUAAAUAUGCCAGAGAAAAAGUUUCAGAACCUAAAGUCUCAUGACUGCCACGUGAUUAUGACGCAACUACUUUCGGUUGCAUUGAGGGGGCUUCUCCCGGAAAAUGUCCGAUUAGCCAUUGUGAAGCUAUGUGCAUUCCUCAAUGCAAUCUCUCAGAAGGUGAUCGAUCCAGAAAUCGUACCAAGGCUAAGGAGUGAUGUGGUGCAAUGUCUUGUCAGUUUCGAGCUGGUGUUCCCACCAUCCUUCUUCAAUAUCAUAACGCACGUCCUAGUUCAUCUAGUCAACAAGAUUGUCAUCCUGGGGCCCGUAUUUCUACACAAUAUGUUCCCCUUUGAGAGGUUCAUGGGAGUCCUAAAGAAAUAUGUCUGCAAUCAUGCUAGGCCAGAAGGAAGCAUCUCCAUGGGCCAUCAAAUAGAGGAUGUUAUCAGGUUUUGUGUUGACUUCAUUCCUGGCCUUAACAAGAUAGGUCUCCCUAAAUCGCAGUAUGAGGGGAGACUGACUGGAAAAGGCACUCUUGGAAGAGACUCAAUAAUAUGCAGGGACGAAUAUUCUUGGUCUCAAGCACACUACACAGUUCUACAGAACUCUACCUUGGUGACCCCGUAUGUCGAUGAACACAAGAACAGUCUGCGCUCCAAACACCCGGAGCAGUGCGACGACUGGAUUACAUGUGAACACAUCAGGACUUUCAGCAGUUGAUUGGAAACACGUCUCAGAGGUGACAACACUGUUUGUGAUGAGUUGUACUUGUUGUCCAGGGGACCAUCUUUGACUGUAUUGACUUACAAAGGAUACGAGAUAAAUGGGAAUACAUUUUACACGAUCGCCCAAGAUCAAAAGAGCACCAACCAAAAUAGCGGUGUCCGAUUUGAUGCAGCAACCGAGAGCAGAAAGGAUACAUAUUAUGGUUACAUAGUGGACAUAUGGGAACUUGACUACGGACCUGAUUUUAAGGUCCCUUUGUUUAAGUGCAAAUGGGUCAAUCUGUUAGGCGGCGGGGUAUAGGUAGACCCACAGUACGAAAUGACAACAGUGGAUCUGAAAAAUCUUGGGUACACUGACGAACCGUUCGUCCUAGCCAAUGAUGUAGCACAGGUUAUCUAUGUGAAGGACAUGUCUAUCAAACCGAGAAAAAGAAAAGAUAAGGAAGCGAAUACAUCAUACGAUGAGCCAAAGCGCCACAUAGUUCUUUCAGAAAAAAGGGACAUCCUAGGAGUGGACGGCAAGACAGACAUGUCUGAAGAUUAUGAAAAGUUUCAUGAAAUUCCUCCCUUCAAUGUCAAGGCUGACCCAAGCAUCCUGAUAAACAAUGAAGAUUAUCCAUGGUUACGGCGCAAUAAGCAAAUGACACAAGCGAAGAAAAAGUGAAGACUUUCUCCCGCAACUAUUAUGAUGAUACCAUGCCAAAUUUGUGACACACGAGUAUGCUAUGCCAACUUUUUCAGAGUUCAUUUGAAAACUAUGAAUUUAGGUCGAAUUUUCUCUAUAGGUGCAUCUAUGUUCAAAUUUUAACUAUUCAAAUUUGAAAACUAAUGGCACUAACAGAAAGUUUAUAUUUUUUCUAAAACUAAUGGCACUAACAGAAAGUUUAUAAUUUUGCUAACCUAAAAGCAAAAAGAAUUAAAAAAUAAAGCAAAAAACAAAAGAAAAUAAAUAAUACAGAAAACAAAACAAAAAAACUGGAACAAAAAUAAAAAUAGCAACAAUAAGUAUUUUGUUGUAAGUAGAAAGAANNNNNNNNNNNNNNNNNNNNNNNNNNNNNNNNNNNNNNNNNNNNNNNNNNNNNNNNNNNNNNNNNNNNNNNNNNNNNNNNNNNNNNNNNNNNNNNNNNNNNNNNNNNNNNNNNNNNNNNNNNNNNNNNNNNNNNNNNNNNNNNNNNNNNNNNNNNNNNNNNNNNNNNNNNNNNNNNNNNNNNNNNNNNNNNNNNNNNNNNNNNNNNNNNNNNNNNNNNNNNNNNNNNNNNNNNNNNNNNNNNNNNNNNNNNNNNNNNNNNNNNNNNNNNNNNNNNNNNNNNNNNNNNNNNNNNNNNNNNNNNNNNNNNNNNNNNNNNNNNNNNNNNNNNNNNNNNNNNNNNNNNNNNNNNNNNNNNNNNNNNNNNNNNNNNNNNNNNNNNNNNNNNNNNNNNNNNNNNNNNNNNNNNNNNNNNNNNNNNNNNNNNNNNNNNNNNNNNNNNNNNNNNNNNNNNNNNNNNNNNNNNNNNNNNNNNNNNNNNNNNNNNNNNNNNNNNNNNNNNNNNNNNNNNNNNNNNNNNNNNNNNNNNNNNNNNNNNNNNNNNNNNNNNNNNNNNNNNNNNNNNNNNNNNNNNNNNNNNNNNNNNNNNNNNNNNNNNNNNNNNNNNNNNNNNNNNNNNNNNNNNNNNNNNNNNNNNNNNNNNNNNNNNNNNNNNNNNNNNNNNNNNNNNNNNNNNNNNNNNNNNNNNNNNNNNNNNNNNNNNNNNNNNNNNNNNNNNNNNNNNNNNNNNNNNNNNNNNNNNNNNNNNNNCGCCGUCGCUGCCCCAUGCCGCCCCGACGCCGUCGCCGCCGCCUUCGAUGCCAUCUGCCCCGACGCCGGCGCCGCUCCCCUCUGUGAGCACCUGCCGCCUUGCCCUUCUGCCCCGCCGGCGCCACCAUGUUUUUUUUCAUAUGUUGCAAUAUGUUUUUUUAUUUUUAUUAGUUUAUUUUUUUGUUCAUAUGUGAUGUAUAUGUGUAUGUGGCUAUAAUGUAUAUGUGUAUGUGAUGUAUGUGGCUAGAAUUUGCUAAAUAUAUAUGAUUUUUUUAGGUUAUUUUCAUUUGUAGAAUUUUUUGUUCAUAUAUGGAUAUUUAGGGGGUCGAGGGUCGAGAACUAGUUUAGGGGGUCGAGGGUCGAUAACUAGUUUAGGGGGUCGAGGGUCAAGAACGUCGGACAUUCAUGAGAGAGGCGGGGAAGAAGGGGAAGAAGAGGGAGAAGAAGAGGAAGAAGAAUAAAAAGAGGAGAAGAAAGAAUAGAGGAGAAGAAGUUCUUCUCCUCUAUUCUUUCUUCUCUUCUUUUUUCUUCUUCUUCUUCCUCUUCUUUUUUUAUCGGAACGAGGGUCNNNNNNNNNNNNNNNNNNNNNNNNNNNNNNNNNNNNNNNNNNNNNNNNNNNNNNNNNNNNNNNNNNNNNNNNNNNNNNNNNNNNNNNNNNNNNNNNNNNNNNNNNNNNNNNNNNNNNNNNNNNNNNNNNNNNNNNNNNNNNNNNNNNNNNNNNNNNNNNNNNNNNNNNNNNNNNNNNNNNNNNNNNNNNNNNNNNNNNNNNNNNNNNNNNNNNNNNNNNNNNNNNNNNNNNNNNNNNNNNNNNNNNNNNNNNNNNNNNNNNNNNNNNNNNNNNNNNNNNNNNNNNNNNNNNNNNNNNNNNNNNNNNNNNNNNNNNNNNNNNNNNNNNNNNNNNNNNNNNNNNNNNNNNNNNNNNNNNNNNNNNNNNNNNNNNNNNNAGAAGAAUAAAAAGAGGAGAAGAAAGAAUAGAUGAGAAGAACUUCUUCUCCUCUAUUCUUUCUUCUCCUCUUUUAAUUCUUAUUCUUCCUCUUCUUUUUUUAUUGGGAACGAGGGCAUGUCGAGAGUGUCGUCGAGCAGUCGAGGGUCGGGAAACUAGGGCUUACCCGAAGAAGGAGAAGAAGAGAAGAGGAAGAAGAGGAGAAAAAAAGGAAAAGGAAAAAAAGAGGAAGAAGAAGAAAAAAAAGAGGAGAAGAAGAAGGAAUAGAGGAGAAGACUUUGUCAGUUCUUCUUCUCCUCUAGCUAUUCCUUUCUUCUUCUCCUCUUUCUUCUUCUUCUUCUUCUUCUUCUUCUUCUUCUUCUUCUUCUUCUUCUUCUUCUUCUUCUUCUUCUUCUUCUUCUUCUUCUUCUUCUUCUUCUUCUUCUUCUUCUUCUUCUUAAUUUUUAUCGGGGGUUUGAGGGUUCGAGGGGUCGAGGAUCGCCGAGGGGUGAGAGAGGUUUCCUAGUGUCAAAGUAUUGAAGAAAUACAUUCCUUCAUCAUUAGCCGGAAGUAACCAGGGCAUGUUGGUACGAAGUUCUGCAAAGUUGUUCUGGAAUGGAGUCCCGGAUAGAAUAAUCCGCCUUUUGGUACGAAUUCAACAAAGGCCUUCCAAAUAGCGAUAUUCGGAAGGCUCUUGCUGAACUUUGUACCAAAAAGCGAAUUAUCCUAUCUGGGACUCCGUUCCAGAACAACUUUGAAGAGCUUCGUACCAUCAUGCACAUGUUACUUUCGCCUAAUGAUGAAGACAUGGUUUUGUUGAAUCUUUUGACACUACGCAACCUCCUGACCCCUCGGCGAUCCUCUCGAAAAUGAGAGGAAGAAGAGGGUCGUCUAGGGGUCGAGGGUUCCAGGGUCGUCGAGGGUUCGAGGGGUCGAGGAUCACCGAGGGGUCGAGAGAGGUUUCCUAGUGUCAAAUUAUUGAAGAAAUCCAUGCCUUCAUCAUUAGCCGGAAGUAACCAGGGCAUGUUGGUACGAAGUUCUGCAAAGUUGUUCUGGAAUGGAGUCCCGGAUAGGAUAAUCCGCCUUUUGGUACGAAUUCAGCAAAGGCCUUCCAAAUAGCGAUAGUCGGAAGGCUCUUGCUGAACUUUGUACCAAAAAGCGAAUUAUCCUAUCUGGGACUCUGUUCCAGAACAACUUUGAAGAGCUUCGUACCAUCAUGCACAUGUUACUUUCGCCUAAUGAUGAAGACAUGGUUUUGUUGAAUCCUUUGACACUAGGCAACCUCCCGACCCCUUGGCGAUCCUCUCGAACAUGAGAGGAAGAAGAGGAUAAAAAAAGAAGAGGAAGAAGAAAAAAAAGAGGAGAAGAAAGAAUAGAGGAGUUCUUCUCCUCUAUUCUUUCUUCUCCUCUUUUUUUUCUUCUUCUUCCUCUUUUUUUUAUCGGGAACGAGGGUCGUCGAGGGACAUAGAUGUAGUGUCGUCGUUGUCGAUAUAUACCCCCUCCCGAUAGCUUACUAUGAUUAGGUAGCUAGUUCUACGUUUGGCACUAAUAUAUCCAUCUGUCAUGUUUGAAUAAUAAUUGCCAUGUUGUAAAUAUUUGUAGAAACUAUGGACACCGCCCUAGACGAAGCAAAAGAAGCGUUGUUGAGGGACAUAAUCGCAGAAGGAAGUGAUGACGUCUCGUUUUUUCUCAACGAAACCGAUGGUCUGGAAGGAGAGGGUGAACAAGCUGGCUACGGUGACCUAAUGCCGGUGGAAGAAGAAGAACAUGAGGACUGCUCCGGUGACCCAAUGCCGGUGCAAGAAGGAGACCGUGAUGACGGCUCCGAUGACCGAACCGAGUCCGGCCAGGUAUAUAUAUUAGUUAAGCCUGUGCUGACUAGCUGAUUGAUGCAUUCAUUGUUUUGGUAUGUACACAUAUUAAUUAAGUCUUUGUUCUUUUUUUAGCCCUCCGGAUCGAGCACAACUUCGGUAAAGAGACGAGGCCCGAAGAAAAAGUUGAGCUCGGAUGAAAAGUUUGAGAUCACAGCAAUCGCGCCCGACGGCCAACCGAUUGAACCCAUCCGAACAAAGAACGCAUUUGUUGCUCAGUGCGGGGUUCUGGUUAGGGACAAGAUCCCGAUAAGCAUCCAGCAAUGGUUUAAGCCGGCUACAGAAGACCUUGAGGUGUCUUAUGGCAAUGAUAUGCAGAAAAAUGAUCUUUGGACUAAGCUGAAGUCAAAUUUCACCCUAUCGCCAGAGGAUAAUCCAGAGAACCCAGUUAAAGAGCAAUUAAUCAAGUCUUUUGCUCUUAAGAGGAUGGCAGAACUAUUCAGGAGGUGGAAGAAAGAACUGAAUAAGUUUGUCAAAAAUAAUGAGGCACCAGAAUUCAAGGGCAGAUAUGAGAGGAUCAGAGAUCACUGGCCCGCAUUUGUGGCUCACAAGACAUCGGAAAAGAAUAAGAAGAUGUCGGUGACAAACAAGCAAAAUGCUGCGAAGAAGAAGCUUCACCAUCGCACGGGGUCAGGUGGCUACCUCGUAGCCCGGCCUAAGUGGGCCAAGACUGAGAAUGAUCUGGUUGGUAAAGGGAUUGAACCAGAGACAAUUACCUGGCUAGACCGUUGCCGGACUUGGUUCUUCGGGGCUGGCGGAACCUUGGACCCUGUAACAGGGAAGUGCAUUUGGACGAACGAUCAAAUGGACAUACCAGUCAGGAAGCUUAAGCAGUAUAUCGAAGCAGCACAGCAAGGGAAGUUCUUUCCAGACAGAGAGAACGACGAGCUCACAAUGGCCCUCGGGAAUCCUGAGCACCCUAGACGGACACGAGGCACGCCAGGCUCCAUUCCAUGGAAGGUUGGUUUUCCGGACGUAGGCGGUUACAAAUCCCAUGAGAGGAGGAAAAAAGUGCAGCAGACCCAAAUGCAGGCGCUGCAAGCAAGGGUAGACGCGAUAGAGGAACGAGAAGCAAAUCGCAGCAAACGUACUGUCGAAGCCUCCCCCGAAGCUACCCCGCCAUCUCAGCGCAGAAGCAGCAUGGCUUCCACCGAGCUGCUUCAGCCGGAGCAUGCCUUGAUGGCUCCUGCCAGCUAUCCCGUGGAUGCUAUCACGGAGUCUCAAAAUUGCCACCUUAUGACGCAAUGGAUGAAUUUGAAGGUCAAGGCGGCUAUUGGCUCUGUUUAUCCUACUGAACCCGGCGCAACUUUUCACUGCCGGCCGAUUCCAGAAGGAUAUGCUAGGGUGAUGGUGGAUGAAAUAACGAAGGGAUUUGAGGACCUCCAGCUUGACCACCCUACCGGUGAAGGGGAGACUCGGCUGGGGUCUGCUCUCAAGACUCCAUGCCUAUGGUGGAAGGAGCUCAUCAACCUUCUGAACUGGACGCCUCCGCCUCCUCCUCCUCCUCCGGCGAGUCAGGGCACUCCGCCUCCUCCACUGCCUCCUCCUUCAGCGAGUGACGAUCAGGGCCCUCGGCCGGCUCCUUCUCCGACGCAUGGCGGCACUCCGCCUCCUUCUCCGCUUGCGCCGACGCGCCCGAGCAGCUAACUUCCUCCUUCUCCGUCUCGUCAGCAAGGGCAGAAGAGACCUGCCGCCGCUCCAGCUGCUCCGGCGCGUCGUAGUCCUUCUCCUCCGCCUCGUAAGCAAGUAAAGAAGACAACCGCUCCGUCUGCUCGGUCAGCGUCUAGCAGUACAACCAGAGGCGGGAGGACAUACAGAUUCGGUCCUGCUCUGAAGACUCCAGAGAAGUUACCAUAUGAGAGGACCCCGGAGGAGAACGCUGAGAUCGCGCGAACCGAAGUGGAUGACUGGUUUCAAGGGUUGAGAGCAAAGAGACAUCCACCUCCAGAGGAGAAGGUAGAUCCGGUGAAAGUGAAGCGCACUCUGGCUGCCCUGGCAAAACCACCCAAGUCUCCGCUAAAAGGCAAUUAUGAGCGCAUUAUUGCAAAGACAUGGGCCGAAGCGGAGCGGUCGGGAAGUACAGUCAGUGAUCAAAGGCUGAAAGAACGACGAGCAGCUGGGAAACAAAUUGCCCAGCUCGGCGAACAAGCGAAGCAAUCGUGCCCCCCCUCAAGGUGCCUAGCGACAUCGUCGAUCCGAGGAUGGUGCCCGGUUAUGGCAAUAUUGACGAUUACCUGCCUGACGAUGUACAUUAUGAUCCCAUGGAGGUGCAGAUACACAGAUACGAGUACGGGAAGCCUCUCAUCAAAGAUGAAAAAUCUUUAACAACGAUGAUGCGAAGAUUACAUGAUUGGUACUUGAAAAUCUGUAGAGAGUCUGGGGGGAGGAGUACUUUGUAUGCGAGAGUUAAACCGGAGCAUGACCUCGUUGGAAUUGAACUGUUGCCUAUUCCAUUUGAGGAGUUCUAUCAGUUUUUCAAUCAAUUGGCCCUCGAUAAAGCAACGAUCACCUGCUACUAUCUGUAAGUACUACUACUUCUGUCAUUAAGUCUCUCUAUAUAGCUCAUCUCUUUCAUUGCAUGUAUUUAAAAUUAUCCUCACUAUAUUAUGCAGAAUGAAGAUCGCCGAAUUGAAGAAAAGACAAAUCUGUGAUAUUGGGUUCAUUAACACAUAUCUCAUAGAUGCAACUGAGGUUCAACAUCGUCCCGGAGAUACCGAGGCCAACUUGCUACGAUCAUUCAAAAAAAAUGAAAACAAAGAUAUAAUACUCUUUCCUUACAACUUCAAGUGAGUGUUACUGUCUUGUGCAUAUUCGGUUUCCCUUAUAUAUUAGUCUAGGUUAUAGUAAUGUAACUGAUGAGUUAUGCAUGCGUGUGCAGAUUCCACUAUAUUCUCCUAGAGAUUAGGCUUGAGCAGGGAGUAGUAACCGUCUUGGACUCUAAACGAAAAGAUCCCCAGGAGUAUGCGGACAUGACUGAUAUCCUCAAGAAGUAAGUUAAAUCAAUCAUUAUCCACCAUAUCAGCAACUUUGUUCAUUUCCUGAUAUCAAGUAAUUGUUUUCUUUGUCCGGCAGGGUUUGGAGAAAAUUCACCAAAACAGUCUCGGGACUGCCGAAGGAGCUGGAAUUUAGACACCCGAAAGUAAGUACUAUAGUAGCAUGUUCCGCGCAUCUCCUAGUGAUUCAAGCGCUAGUUUCAUCAAUACCAUUUAGCAUUCUUGCUUAUCAGUUUGAUUGACCUCUAUUUCUUGUAAAGUGAUUGUGGCAGGAAAAAGGGAAUGAUUUCUGUGGAUACUGCGUCUGCGAGUCCAUCCGCCACACGACCUCUGAGCGGGGCGGGUACUCUGACGAACAAUAUGAAGUACGUAAAUAACAACAUUCACAAUUUUAUUUUAUUACCAUCAUUUGUAUUGAGUUUCAUUCAUUCAUAUAUAUAUGUAUUGACCCCCUUCUUCAAAUUAGAUGUUUCGGAAGCGGGAUGAACUCCUAGCACCAGCUCGCAUGCGAGCAACCCUUCUUCAAAUAAGAUGUUUCGGAAGCGGGAUGAACUCCUAGCACCAGCUCGCAUGCGAGCAAUUCAAGAGGAAUUGGCGGCAUUCUUUCUUGACCAAGUGAUCGCUGAAGAUGGAGAAUACUAUGUGGACCAUGAGUCCGUAUGAUUAUAUUUGUACGAGAUAAUUAUUGUAUAUAUGUAGCCGGUAGUGUCGGAUAUAUCAUAGAUAUACGAGAACUUGUUGUUCGACCAAUCUCUCGGAGAAGGAGAGGUGAUCGAUAUCACUUCUCUCUGUAUGCAUAUAUGUUCAUGACGAUCUUCUGUUUCCUUCGUUUGCUUACUAGCUAACUAGCGUGUCUAGUCCUCUCUAUACGUAUGUAUAGUACGUAGCGUCGACCAAGCACGGACGUAAGAGAGGACACUUCUCUCUAUUAAUUAUAGCUAGCUAACACAAUAUAUGAAACACCUAAAUUAACCCCCCAAAACCCCCAACCCCCCCCUUCAAAACAAAAAAAAACCCAGCCACAGAAAUGCUGACGCGUGGAUGCCUAUUGGUCCCGGUUGGUGCCACCAACCGGGACCAAAGGGUCUCCUGCCUGGGCUCUGCGCACUGCCCACGUGGAGGGCCUUUAGUCCCGGUUCUGGAUUGAACCGGGACUAAAGGGGGGAGGUAUUAGUACCGACACUUUAGUCCCGGUUCCGGAACCGGGACUAAAGGCCCUUACGAACCGGGACUACAGGCCCUUUUUCUACCAGUGAAAUGUGGCACCUGUGACACCCGUGAUUGAAACUUCCUUCCCAGGUGUGGUGAAGGUGGUUCAUGGCCCUCUGACUGAAGCUCAAAUUAUUCAGCAGUUACGGGAGUUGGCACCGGGUAAUUUUCAGUGGUCUUUGCUGAAGUUAACAUAUCAGACUUACAAAGUGGAGUUUCCUUCUAAAGAGGAUCAGUUGAGAAUCCUCAAAUUUGGCAUGUGUAGAGUCACUGGAACAAGUUUUGUGUUGCAGUUUGAUGAGUGGAAAAAGAAGGAGCCUCAGGGUACGCUGAUACGUCUCCAACGUAUCUAUAAUUUUUUAUUGCUCCAUGCUAUAUUAUCUUCUGUUUUGGACAUUAUUGGGCUUUAUUAUCCACUUUUAUAUUAUUUUUGGGACUAACCUAUUGACCCAGAGCCCAGUGCCAGUCCCUAUUUUUCCCUUGUUUCAGUCUUUCGAAGAAAAGGAAUAUCAAACGGAGUCGAAACGGAAUGAAACCUUCUAGAGAAGUUAUUUUUGGAAGGAAACCAACCCGGGAGACUUGGAGUCCAGGUCAAGAAAGCAACGAGGAAGCCACAAGGCAGGGGGGCGCGCCCACCCCCCUGGGCACGCCCUCCACCCUCGUGGGCCCCUUGUGGCUCCCCUGACGUACUUCUUCCUCCUAUAUAUACCCAUAUACCCUAAAACUAUCGGGGAGCACAAUAGAUCGGGAGUUCCGCCGCCAGAAGCCUCCAUAGCCACUGAAAACCAAUCUAGACCCGUUCCGGCACCCUGCCGGAGGGGGGAAUCCCUCUCCGAUGGCCAUCUUCAUCAUCUCGGCGCUCUCCAUGACAAGGAGGGAGUAGUUCUCCCUCGGGGCUGAGGGUAUGUACCAGUAGCUAUGUGUUUGAUCUCUCUCUCUCUGUUCUUGAGGUGUUACGAUCUUGAUGUAUCGCGAGCUUUGCUAUUAUAGUUGGAUCUUAUGAUGUUUUCUCCCCCCUCUACUCUCUUGUAAUGGAUUGAGUUUCCCCUUUGAAGUUUUCUUAUCGGAUUGAGUCUUUAAAGAUUUGAGAACACUUGAUGUAUGUCUUGCCGUGCAUAUUUGUGGUGACAAUGGGAUAUCACGUGAUUCACUUGAUGUAUAUUUUGGUGAUCAACUUGCGGGUUCCGCCCAUGAACCUAUGCAUAGGGGUUGGCACACGUUUUCGUCGUGAUUCUUCGGUAGAAACUUUGGGCACUCUUUGAGGUUCUAUGUGUUGGUUGAAUAGAUGAAUCUGAGAUUGUGUGAUGCAUAUCGUAUAAUCAUACCCACGGAUAGUUGAGGUGACAUUGGAGUAUCUAGGUGACAUUAGGGUUUUGGUUGAUUUGUGUCUUAAGGUGUUAUUCUAGUACACACUCUAGGGAUGUUUGUGACACCUAUAGGAAUAGCCCAACAGAUUGAUUGGAAAGAAUAACUUUGAGGUGGUUUCAUACCCUACCAUAAUCUCUUCGUUUGUUCUCCGCUAUUAGUGACUUUGGAGUGACUCUUUGUUGCAUGCUGAGGGAUAGUUAUGUGAUCCAAUUAUGUUAUUAUUGUUGAGAGAACUUGCACUAGUCAAAGUAUGAACCCUAGGCCUUGUUUCCUAGCAUUGCAAUACCGUUUACGCUCACUUUUAUCUUAGUUACCUUGCUGUUUUUAUAUUCUCAGAUUACAAAAACCGUUAUCUACUAUCCAUAUACCACUUGUAUCACCAUCUCUUCGCCGAACUAGUGCACCUAUACAAUUUACCAUUGUAUUGGGUGUGUUGGGGACACAAGAGACUCUUUGUUAUUUGCUUGCAGGGUUGCUUGAGAGAGACCAUCUUCAUCCUAUGCCUCCUACGGAUUGAUAAACCUUAGGUCAUCCACUUGAGGGAAAUUUGCUACUGUCCUACAAACCUCUGCACUUGGAGGCCCAACAACGUCUACAAGAAGAAGGUUGUGUAGUAGACAUCAAGCUCUUUUCUGGCGCAUUGCCGGGGAGGUGAGUGCUUGAAGGUAUAUCUUUAGAUCUUGCAAUCGAAUCUUUUUGUUUCUUGUUUUAUCACUAGUUUAGUUUAUCAAACAAAACUACAAAAAAUGGAAUUAAGUUUGCCUCAUACGCUUCAUCUUUUUAAUAUCUUUCGUGAGUAUGAUGGAAAGGAAAAUUGUGCCAAAGUAUUAGAAGAAGAAUGCAUUAAUAUGUUUGGCACUAAAUAUUUGAAUGAUGAGCAUGAUUGCAAUGUUGUUAGUAUGAAUUCCUUAAAUAUCCAUGAUGCUAAUGAUAUGCAAAGCCACAAGCUUGGGGAAGCUAUGUUUCAUGAAGAUGAUAUUUUUUUCUCCCCCAAGUUUUGAUGAGCAAAUUUAUUAUGAUGAAAGCAUGCCUCCUAUUUAUGAUGAUUAUAUUGAUGAAAGUGGAUUUGGAGAGGUCAUGACUUUAUUUAGUGAUGAAUCCACUAUUUCGGAAGAGGUUCCAAUUGAUUAUGAGAACAAAGUUGCUAUUUAUGAUGAUUAUUGUGAUGACUUGUAUGCUAUAAAGAAUAAUGAUAACCAUGAAACUUGUCAUCAUGAUUUUAGUUUUCAAUUGGAUUAUGCCUCACAUGAUAGUUAUUUUGUUGAGUUUGCUCCCACUACUAUUCAUGAGAAGAAUUUUGCUUAUGUGGAGAGUAAUAAAAUUUCUAUGCUUGUAGAUCAUGAAAAGAAUGCUUUAGGUGAUGGUUAUAUUGUUGAAUUCAUUCAUGAUGCUACUGAAAAUUAUUAUGAGGGAGGAAUAUAUACUUGUAGGAAUUGCAAUAAUAUCAAGUUUCCUCUCUUUGUGCUUAAAGUUUCAAAGUUAUGCUUGUUUUGCCUUCCUAUGCUAGUUGAUUAUUGUUCUCAUAAGUUAUUUGCUCACAAAAUCCCUAUGCAUAGGAAGUGGGUUAGACUUAAAUUUGCUAGUCAUAUUCUUUAUGACGCUCUAUUUAUGUUUCAAUUCUUAUCUUUUAUGUGAGCAUCAUUGAAAUCAUCAUGCCUAGCUAGGGGCGUUAAACGAUAGCGCUUGUUGGGAGGCAACCCAAUUUUAUUUUCGUUCCUUGCUUUUUGUUCCUGUUUAGUAAUAAAAAAUUAAUCUAGACUCUUUUUAGAUGUGGUUUGAUGCUUUUAAUUAGUUUUUGUGCCAAGUAGAACCUUUGGGAAGACUUGGGGAAUGUCUUUGCGAUCAUGCUGUAAAAAACAAAAACUUUAUCGCUCACGAGAAUUGCUGCCAUUUUUUAUUGGAGGGUGAUAUUUAGUUAAUUAUUUUUGAAUAAUAUUAAUAGACAAAUUACUCAGGUCCACCAAUUUAUGUUAGAAUUUUAUGAGUUUCAGAAGUAUACGUUUGAUACAGAUUACUACAGACUGUUCUGUUUUUGAUAGAUUCUGUUUUCUAUGUGUUGUUUGCUUAUUUUGAUGAAUCUAUGAGUAGUAUCGGAGGGUAUGAACCAUAGAUAAGUUGGAAUAAAGUAGAUAUUACACCAAUAUAAAUAAAGAAUGAGUUCAUUACAGUACCUUGAAGUGGUGUUUUGUUUUCUUUCGCUAACAGAACUUACGAGUUUUCCGUUAAGUUUUGUGUUGUGAAGUUUUCAAGUUUUGGGUAAAGAUUCGAUGGACUAUGGAAUAAGGAGAGGCCAGAGCGUAAGCUUGGGGAUGCCCAAGGCACCACAAGGUAAUAUUUAAGGACAACCAAAAGCCUAAUCUUGGGGAUGCCCCGGAUGGCAUCCCUUCUUUCGUCUUCGUUCAUCGGUAACUUUACUUGGGGCUAUAUUUUUAUUCGCCACAUGAUAUGUGUUUUGUUGGAGCAUCAUUUUAUUUUAUUUAGUUUUGCUUGCUGUUUGAAUAAAAUACCAAGAUCUGAAAUUCUUAAAUGUUAGAGAGUCUUCACAUAGUUGCAUAAUUAUUCGACUACUCAUUGAUCUUCACUUAUAUCUUUCGGAGUAGUUUGUCAUUUGCUCUAGUACUUCACUUAUAUCUUUUUAGAGCACGGUGGUGCUUUUAUUUUGAAGAAAUAGAUGAACUCUCGUGCUUCACUUAUAUUAUUUUGAGAGUCUUUAGAACAGCAUGGUAGUUUGCUUUGGUAUGAAACUAGUCCUAAUAUGAUGGGCAUCCAAGAGGGAUAUAAUAAAAACUUUCAUAUAAGUGCAUUGAAUACUAAGAGAAGUUUGAUACUUGAUGAUUGUUUUGAGAUAUGGAGAUAGUGAUAUCAAAGUUGUGCUAGUUGGGUAGUUUUGAAUUUGAGGAAUACUUGUGUUGAAGUUUGCAAGUCCCGUAGCAUGCACGUAUGGUAAACGUUGUGUAAAAAAUUUAAAUCAUGAGGUGUUAUUUGAUUGUCUUCCUUAUGAGUGGCGGUCGGGGACGAGCGAUGGUAUUUUCCUACCAAUCUACCCCCCUAGGAGCAUGCGCGUAAUGCUUGGUUUUUGAUGACUUGUAGAUUUUUUCAAUAAGUAUGUGAGUUCUUUAUGACUAAUGUUGAGUCCAUGGAUUAUACGCACUCUCACCAUUCCAUCAUUGCUAGCCUCUUCGGUACCGUGCAUUGCCCUUUCUCACAUUGAGAGUUGGUGCAAACUUCGCCGGUGCAUACAAACCCCGUGAUAUGAUACGCUCUGUCACACAUAAACCUCCUUAUAUCUCCCUCAAAACAGCCACCAUACCUACCUAUUAUGGCAUUUCCAUAGACAUUCCGAGAUAUAUUGCCAUGCAACUUUCCACCGUUCCGUUUAUUAUGACACGCAUCAUCAUUGUCAUAUUGCUUUGCAUGAUCAUGUAGUUGACAUCAUAUUUGUGGCAAAGCCACCAUUCGUAAUUUUUCAUACAUGUCGCUCUUGAUUCAUCGCAAUCCCGGUAUGCCGCCGGAGGCAUUCAUAUAGAGUCAUAUCUUGUUCUAGUAUCGAGUUGUAAUCUUUGAGUUGUAAAUAAAUAGAAGUGUGAUGAUCAUUAUUAAUAGACCAUUGUCCGGAAAAAAGGGCCAAAAAAAGUCAAAAAAAUGCCAAAGAAAAAAAGAAAAAAAGGCCAAAUAAAAAAAUUAAAAAAUGAAAGGGACAAUGUUACUAUCCUUUUACCACGCUUGUGCUUCAAAGUAGCACCAAGAUCUUCAUGAUAGAGAGUCUCUUAUGUUGUCACUUUCAUAUACUAUUGGGAAAUUUUCAUUAUAGAACUUGGCUUGUAUAUUCCAACAAUGCUCCUCAAGUGCCCUAGGUCUUCGUGAGCAAGAAAGUUGGAUGCACACCCACUUAGUUUCUUGUUUCUUUUGUUGAGCUUUCAUACAUUUAUAUCUCUAGUGCAUCUGUUGCAUGGCAAUCCCUACUCCUUGCAUUGACAUCAAUUUAUGGGCAUCUCCCUAGCCCAUUGAUUAGCCGCGUCGAUGUGAGACUUCAUCAUUUUUGUCUUCUCCACAUAACCCCCUCAUUAUAUUCUAUUCCACCCAUAGUGCUAUAUCCAUGGCUCACGCUCAUGUAUUGCAUGAAAGUUGAAAAAAGUUUGAGAUUACUAAAGUAUGAAACAUUUGCUUGGCUUGUCAUCGGGGUUGUCCAUGAUGAGAGCAUUCUUGUGUGACGAAAAUGAAGCAUGACUAAACUAUAUGAUUUUGUAGGGAUGAACUUUCUUUGGCCAUGUUAUUUUGAGAGGGCAUAAUUGCUUAGUUAGUAUGCUUGAAGUAUUAUUAUUUUUAUGUCAAUAUGAACUUUUAUCUUGAAUCUUUCGGAUCUGAAUAUUCAUACCACAAUUAAGAAGAAUUACAUUGAAAUUAUGGUAAGUAGCACUCUGCAUCAAAAAUUCUGUUUUUAUCAUUUACCUACUCGAGGACGAGCAAGAAUUAAGCUUGGGGAUGCUGAUACGUCUCCAACGUAUCUAUAAUUUUUGAUUGCUCCAUGCUAUAUUAUCUUCUGUUUUGGACAUUAUUGGGCUUUAUUACCCACUUUUAUAUUAUUUUUGGGACUAACCUAUUGACCCAGAGCCCAGUGCUAGUUCCUGUUUUUCCCUUGUUUCAGUGUUACAAAGAAAAGGAAUAUCAAACGGAGUCGAAACAGAAUGAAACCUUCUGGAGAAGUUAUUUUUGGAAGGAAAGCAACCCGGGAGACUUGGAGUCCACGUCAAGAAAGCAACGAGGAAGCCACGAGGCAGGGGGCGCGCCCUCCACCCUCGUGGGCCCCACGUGGCUCCCCUAACGUACUUCUUCCUCCUAUAUAUACCCAUAUACCCUAAAACUACCGAGGAACAUGAUGACCCACAAGUAUAGGGGAUCUAUCAUAGUCCUUUCGAUAAGUAAGAGUGUCGAACCCAACGAGGAGCAGAAGGAAAUGAUAAGCGGUUUUCAGCAAGGUAUUCUCUGCAAGUACCGAAAUAAGUGGUAACAGAUAGUUUUGUGAUAGGAUAAAUUGUAACGAGCAACAAGUAACAAAAGUAAAUAAAGUGCAGCAAGAUGUCCCAAUCCUUUUCAAGAAAAGGACAAGCCGAAACAAACUCUUAUAAUAGGAAAAGCGCUCCUGAGGACACAUGGGAAUAUCGUCAAGCUAGUUUUCAUCACGUUCAUAUGAUUCGCGUUCGAUACUUUGAUAAUUUGAUAUGUGGGUGGACCGGUGCUUGGGUGUUGUUCUUACUUGAACAAGCAUCCCACUUAUGAUUAACCUCUAUUGCAAGCAUCCGCAACUACAACAAAAGUAUUAAGGUAAACCUAACCAUAGCAUGAAACAUAUGGAUCCAAAUCAGCCCCUUACGAAGCAACGCAUAAACUAGGGUUUAAGCUUCUGUCACUCUAGCAACCCAUCAUCUACUUAUUACUUCCCAAUGCCUUCCUCUAGGCCCAAAGAAUGGUGACGUGUUAUGUAGUCGACGUUCACAUAACACCACUAGAGGAUAGACAACAUACAUCUUAUCAAAAUAUCAAACGAAUACCAAAUUCACAUGACUACUCAUAGCAAGACUUCUCCCUUGUCCCCAGGAACGAACGUAAUUACUCACAGAGCAUAGUCAUGUUCAUAAUCAGAGGGGUAAUAAUAUGCAUAUAGGAUCUGAACAUAUGAUCUUCCACCAAAUAAACCAACUAGCAUCAACUACAAGGAGUAAUCAACACUACUAGCAACCUACUAGCACCAAUCCCGGACUUUGAGACAAGAAUUGGAUACAAUAGAUGAACUAGGGUUUGGAGAUGAGAUGGUGCUGGUGAAGAUGUUGAUGGAGAUUGCCCUCUCCCGAUGAGAGGAGCGUUGGUGAUGACGAUGGUGAUGAUUUCCCCCUCCCGGAGGGAUGUUUCCCCGGCAGAAUAGCUCUGCCGGAGCUCUAGAUUGGAUCCGCCAAGGUUCCGCCUCGUGACGGCGGAGUCUCGUCCCGAAAAGUUCCUUCUUCUUUUUUCUCAUCGAAAGACCACAUAUAGGAGAAGAUGGGCGUCGGAGAGCCACCAGGGGGCCCACGAGGUAGGGGGCGCGCCCCCCACCCUCGUGAGCAGGGUGUGGGCCCCCUGGCCUUCAUCUUUGGCGUGGAUUUUUCUUUAUUUCUUUUAAGAUGUUCCGUGGAGUUUCAGGACUUUUGGAGUUGCGCAGAAUAGGUCUCUAAUAUUUGCUCCUUUUCCAGACCAGAAUUCCAACUGCUGGCAUUCUCCCUCCUUUUGUAAACCUUGUAACACUACUAGGAAAAGGCCUACUAAUGGCGCACCUAAUUUGGCCAUUAAUGGCGCAUUAGAGGUGUGCCAUUAGUGCCACGCCAUUAGUAUAUUUUACUAAUGGCGCACCACUGGUGCGCCAUUAGUAUCUGGUAUACUAAUGGCGCACCUCAGAUGCGCCAUUAGUAUAUACAACAGUGCGCCAUUAGUAUGCCUCCCAGGGGGGCAUGUAUACCCAGGUGCUUUGGCAUACUAAUGGCGCACAACAACAGGAUGCGCCAUUAGUAACUUCGGCAUACUAAUGGCGCACUGUUUAAUGAUGCGCCAUUAGUAUCCUUUGGCAUACUAAUGGCGCACUGUGAUGUGAUGCGCCAUUAGUAUGAAUAUUAGGUUUUUUUUAUUUUUUUAUUUUCUGUUUUUUGCACAGGUUACAAAAUGUAUAAUUGGACAAAAUAUAGACAGCACACAUCAACAACAGAUUCAUCGAAUACAAUAGAAGAUUAGUCUCUGAAUACAAUUCAUCAUAUUAGUCUCCGAAUACAAUUCAUCAUAUUAGUCUCCGAAUUGAAAAGACCGAACAAAGAUAGAACAUUAUAUUACAAGUCUCGAGACCGCGAGUAGCGAGUUUGUCUUCACAUUACAAGUCGAUAUCGAUCAUCUAAACUACCAUCACAUAGAAGAGAGCUGCGGUCAUCACGAUGAGCAUCAUCUCGAUGAAACUCGUCUUCAUCCGGUUCCUCCAGCGCUCCCUCCCCUCUCCCGCUAGAUAGCGGGCGUAUCUAGAUUCGGCCUCGGCCCUAGUGGUGUACCCUUUGUAACUGUUACCGCUGAAUCGGUGAACCUGUCUCCGACACUCCUCCCAGUCGUCGUAGACUCCAGGAACCUUACGCUUGUACACGACAUACGACGGCAUCGCUAUGCAGUAGCCAAACGAAACGUUAGUACCAAUUCACAGACAAUACAUAAGCAAUAUAUAAGUAUGCAACAGAACGAUCGGAAGAGAAAAGCAAGACAUUAAUAGCAUCGAUUACAUCUAAGUUGAACGACUCUCGAAACCAAAGAGACAUACUACAAGUUCAUUAAAGUUUAAUUACAACAUGAGCCAAUCGAUGUUUCAGAACUAGACACAGCAUCACUGCUUUCGACUCGACUCAAGGGACCGGAGCGUGGAUGAAGCCGCCGUCUAUCGUGGGAGUCAUGAAAUAACAGUCGUUGUCAGCCUGCAUUUGGAGCAUUGUGUCGAUGUCACUGUUGGACGGUUGAUUUCUGAGGUAGAACUGCCCCGAGGUAUGAAGGACAUCUUGAUAGAUGAUUUCCGCAAACUCCGACUGGAUGCGAAAGAAUUCUUGUCUGAUGUCCGCGUCCUGGAUUGCCGACAUGCUCGCGGCCCAAUCUUUGAGUUUACUCGGUAGCAGAAGUUGAUGGUGGUCCCGUACGAUCGCCCGCAUGUGAUGGAUGGCAUAGUAGGCACCCUUCUGACCGCCAGGCGGCUGCUUGACGCAACAGAACGUCGUAUUGUGGGAGAACACAUGCUUGUCGUACUUACGAAUAGGCCUGGUGAAGGUGCCUCCAUAUUUGGCAUAGCCGGGGAGAACAUCAUCAAGAACCUUCUAGGCAUUUGUGUAGUCUAUGUUCGAAUGACGGUCCGGGUCGAAAUACGUGGCCAUGGAAUAUUUGGGGCUUAGGAGGAUGAGCGUGCAAGGUGUGUCACUGCAGAAAACACGGAAUGUUAAAAGAAAAACGAUCGAAAUCUAAGAAUUCAUAUGUUACGGGGCGGUUGAGGGGAGGACUUACUCGGGAAAGUAAGGCACGAGGAAGUUAUCCUUAUCUUGGUUUGCCAGAAUGACGCCUUCGAGGUAAGAACUCGUGACUUGCCGGUCCCCAGCGCUACCCAAGAUCUUGGCACACAUGUAGAAGGGGUCGACUAUCACGAUGUCCGGGGUCUUGUCGUGAAUGAUCCGCAUCUCCAUACUUAGAGAAAAUAGCCGAACGAAGGUGUAGUGCAGCGGAUGAAGGUUCAACAUAGCGUGGAUGUCAUCAAACCGCAAGACAAUCGUACCCCCGAUGGAGUUAUCCACAAAGCCCUUGCCCUCUGGCACCUUGGACGCGAAAACCGGGUAUGCCACAUCCUUCUCUCUGAGACGCCGCUUCUCCAAAGAAAGAACACUGUCAUGCAGACUCCGCAUAGCACCGGUUGCAGCAUUGAGCAUAUUUCUCGGUAGCAUCGGCCUACCCGCCACAUGCACCCUCCUCGAGAUAUCCUCAGGUGAAGGUGGCCCGUCCUGAGCAUGGAUCGUACUCGAUGCCGGCUGGCCCGCACCCUUGUUAGUCUUUCUUUUGCGUGCCUUCUUCUUCUCCUGUAAUGGGACCGAGUUCUCCUCACAGACCACCUUCUUGAGUGUGUUGGGGCUGAUAAUAUUUCGCACCUCGCCUAUUUGAGGCUCGGUGAAGUCGGCAGCUGGAGGCGUCUCCUGAGAGCUGAACGGCAGACGAUGCCUGUUGCAACUUGCCUUCUCCGCGGUACCAGCUAGAUCGCGCACGUCUUUUGUUGGGUUGGGUUCUUGAGAAGGAGGCCCCAUGAAGUCGCCACCGUACCCAUGAUCGGCAAAGUACUGAUCGACGUUGGCAAAUGUAUCGUCGUCGUCGUCGUUCUGAUCCUGUGCCAUAUGCAUGUUUGGAUCUAGUGGCAUAGGGAUGUCCGGCACCGUUGCGGCGGUCUUGCCAUGGGGCCGACUUGGCGCCGGCACGACUGGCGGUGUUGUCUUUGGGGUGGUGUCCCCCGCCCCCAAACGAAUCUGGCUCUUCGGCCAAAGCAGGGGCCAGCUCAGGCAGGCGCUGAGGGUCAUCACGUCAUCAACGUCGGCCCCGACGGGUCGAAUCGGAGGUAACAACUCGUCGCAGCCUGGCAGCACCCGAACCAGUUGAACCCUAAACAAGUUGGGUGGCAUCUAGGUACCGUGGAACAAGGGGUUGCCCGGCUGUGAUUUUGCCCUUGGCGACAUCAACCAACUCAUUGUUCACGAAGUGCAGCAGAGUGCACGGAACGUCGGCGGUGCCCUGCGAAAACAUGUAGGGCGUCAGGGCUGCCCAGUCAAAGGCAAGGAGAUGAAGUCCUCGGCCAGAGAGGCUUAAUUAGUUACCGUGAUGAUGGCGUCGAGCUCGGCUAAUGUCGAGGCACCGCCAACGGUGGGCGUGCAAUUGACAGAGGGGCCGCUUGCUGCAGAGGUGCCGGCCGGCGUACACCCGGGUGCAUUAAGCUCCCGUGCCAGCGUCGGAGACACCAAUGGCCCCGCCAUCGCGUUCUGCGAGUUGCUGGCCGUGAAGCUAGGAAUCGGGGGCGGCCCCUGUUGGCCGCCCGCAAUCCACGCACUAAUCCCCUGGAUCAAGGUAGGCACAAUGGCGGUGAUCGUCCUUCCAAGUUGUUGUUCCACUUGCUCUUGGACAAUCUCCAGAAUCCGCGCCACCUGUGCCCUGAGUUCUUGAACCUCGCGCGCCUGGCUUUCCGAGCUGGUCUUUUUCUCCUUUCGCCCACCAGUGUUAUAGUAUGACGACCAUUUUGUCGACAAGCCUUUGUCGGCCACACGACCAGCUGACGUCGGCUUACUGAGCUUAUCCUUGUUCUUCAUUACAUUCAACGCCCUAUUUAGAGUGGUGUCCCAAGGGUUGCUCUUAGUCGACCCCGCGCUACUGCUUUCAGUCGCCUGCGGAAGGAAUGUGAACCAUUUAGAAAUUUGGCUUCAUUAAUUAGAAUGCAACCAUAUGGAGCUAAUUACACAGGGGUGUAUUCCUUACCAGAACAAGCUCAAGCACCCUGGUCUUCGGAUCCGUGGUAAGCUCCUUUGUUUUCGGGUCCUUCUUGUACCGGGCCCUGACAAAGUUCCUCGUCUGCUUGUCACCGUAUUUAUCGAAGAGGGGCGGUAGGCCUUGCUCGGCACGGUCCGCCUCCUCCUUGUCCCAUAUAGGCUCCGCCACUCUAUAACCGCCGGGACCGAGUGUGUGUUCCCCUAAGUUCAGCUCCCGCAUUUCUUUCCCCCACUUACUUGAUUCGGAGUUUGCGGUGCUCGAGCAAUUGAUCUUGAAGUCGUUGUAGUCAUCUUCGGUGAUCGAAGGAUUUUUCUCCUUGAUCUUCUCAUAACUCUCACCUUUCUCGAUCAUUCUCUUCACAUUGCUUUUCCAAGUAGACAGGGCCUUGCUCAUCUUCGUGAGGGCAGCAUUGUUCACUUUAUUCCCUUUGAGGCUUGUGUUUUCAAAUUCAGCGGGGAACUUGUAUCGUUCGUGCAGCUUCGUGAAGAGGAGGUUGCGCAAAUUCCCUCGGUCAGGAUGCCUCAGGUUCUCGGUGUUGAUCGAGACGGUGCUCCGAAGAAUGCACCCGAGCUGAAGCGAGUACCCCUUGACUAUUCGUUUGGGCGCCGUUGGAUUCCCGUCGGAGUCCACUUCAGUAACUUCCUCCUUGAGGGUGCGGAGCACGGUCAGGCGCCGGUCCUUCCAUUGCCUCUUCGGUUGGCUGCCAUCUGUGUGUGCGCCGCCAUCAUCAGUGGUGGCAUCCUCGGCGGCACCAUCAGUGGUGGCAUUAGUGGGGUCAUCCUCGGCGGUACCAUCAGUGGUCUCAGGAUCGGUGGGGAAGGCGGCGUCCUCAUACAAGUGAGGUUGUUCCUCCAUCUCCUGGGACAGCUUCCAGAAUGCCUUGACGCCCGAACCCCCGGCCUCAUCAUUGUUGGCCAUGUUUCUCUCUAAAUAGGAACAAAGUUUGGUCAAAAAGUUGGUUAUUGUCAAGGAACAAGAUCAUGGUCUCAUCAUUUAGGGUUUGUCGACACCGAGGCAUCCUAAAAGCUAAGCUUUUAUCAUUGAGGGUUUUUCGAUGCCGAGGCACCCUAAAAGCCUAAGCUUUCAUCAUUUCGGUUUUUAUCGACACCGAGGCACCCUAAAAGCCAUGCAUUAGUCACAAGUACGCCGGGGCACUUGAUCCUACUUAAUUAACUACUAAGAUACCCCGGCCCAUGCAUUAGUUACAAGUACCCCAUAUGUCCUAUUUUUAGCAAAGUCAUGCUAAAAUUCACGGAAAAUUUCAGCAUGACCUUUGCUGAAAAUAGGACAUAUGGAGUACCCGAAUUUGCCGGAACGGAAGUUAAUCGACAUUCCAGCAAACUCAAGGGCCUCUCGGGUGGACAAGGCAAAAAAGGCCUCCAUCACAACAUGGAAUAUACAUUGGCAUGUGAAGAGGUGAAACAAUAUAUGCAUCUCCAAGCAGUAUCAUUCAACAUUUUGGACAAACCACUACAAGCAAUACUGGACCAUUUCUCCCCCAAUACAUCAUAGCAACAUUAUUUGGGUACCUAUAUGGUAUUAACAUGCCAUUCUCUGUCAACAGAAGUAGCACAAAAUCAUUCAAGUACCAGUGUUUAACUAAAACUUGGUGUGAAUAAGAUCCUCUGUCAGUACUUCAUACCAAUAAUCAAAACCCCAAAACCUGACCCCAACUAGUUACCAUAAGGUCAAAUACUGUCCACAAAACCAUAACAGAAAUAGCACAAAAUUAUUCCUAUGUGGUUCAUUACUUGAUUUCCUUUCAGCCUCAAAGUUUAUGUUUGUCCUGGUCAUAUUAUGCUUUUGGCAACCACCAGAAAUGUAAAAGAUUUUUUGUGAACUUGGGAAGAAAAGAACCAACUUUCAUCAAAGAAAUAAAAAUAAGAUCAUGAGCAGAAUAGUUGUUAGGGUACUGUCAUUUAUAGGACCAUUUAACAUUGGCUAGGCAUUUCUUGGCUGCAACAAUCACUGAGUUUGAAAUAGGUAGAAUAGAAUGUAUUUUUCUCACUUGGGAAAGUAAUCAGUUACAGCAACUUCAAUAUUUUGUGUCUCUGAAUAUUUGCAUAAAUUCCUACUAUCAUCCAUGAGCAGCACCACGUAGCAGUUCAUAGAGCAGAACAUGAGGCAGUUAGCUACUGACAGAGCUUUUUGGCCAACACUCAUAACACUGAUCAACAUUUCUCUAACUCAGACUACUUUACACUGAUCAACUGUUCUAAUGGAGGAGAGGAGCAACAGCUGAGGUGGCUACUCACAUCUACUUCUGGUGGGUGCUGAGGUAGGACUUCUCGCAGUACUCGGAGGUGGAGUAGAGCUGCGGUCGCAGGUUCUUGAGCUCCUGCAUCAAGCAUGGCCACAACGCUCAGUUUAUCUACCAUAGACAGUUUAGCAGAAACAAAAGCACUAUUUCCAACUUCGCUCGGGAAAUUCAGGUCAGGCAGUAGUGCAACUUUGCAAGUAUAUGGGGAUUUUUUUAGAGGACAAUAUAUGGGAUUUUAAAAGUGAACACAGCUUAUGUCCCAAGGAUAUUAUUUGUUUUCAAGUCAUGAUUGUUUUGAUUCUACAGUACAUAUUAAUGGCUGCAUAGUUGCGAUGUGAAAGUGAGAUCGCCAUGGCCACAAUAAAUUACGCUGCUACUUUUCUUGUGGCUAUGCUGCAGCUGAUCUUGUGAGUCAGUCAAUACCUUUUCAUGCAGGUAAAUCUAGCCCAUCAAAGGGGGUGCUAAGAAGUCUUUGCAAGUCCGGCUGAAAGCUGCCCCCAAUAAAUCUUAACACUACAAGCAGUUUUACUAAGAUGCUAGAAAACUCACGCCAAACUUGUGCAAAUUGAUGAGAACAACUAAAGAAGCAAAAUUGCAGCAUGAAGAUGCCAAACAAACUAAAUCAGAAACUCAUCAGCAUUGGACACCGCGUUUUGGACAUUACUUUGGUCAAACAUUUUAGCUAACUCAAUGUUGCAGUGAUCAAAGUGGCAUAAUUUGCCAAUUUACAGCACUACUUUUGCCACUUGUUACAAGUUUAUGGACCUGACAAGUUUGCGAUAAUGCUAAGGGAUUUAACAGUGGUAUAUAUGCCCUAAACGUAUCAGCUGGGAGGCCUUCUCUUGUAUAUAUGUACCACUUUCUUGACUUGCCUUCUCUUGUAUAUAUUAUUCCCAUAAAAGAUACGGGCGCAGCAACGCGCGCUUUUAUGUUCUAGUGUCACAAUGAAGGAGGGAUGGCUAGUAAUAGCACUAGUUCGAUUCAACCCAAAUGGAUUGGGCUUAAUUGACUUGACAGAUUACCACAGACGUAACAUAGUACACGUCGCGCGGAUUUGCAAACAAAAUUAGCACAGCAGAUGGGUUCAAAUCAAAACAGGCUACAUAUUCUAAAUCUAAUCCCAGAACAGAGAGGCUAACCAUGCAAUCUACAUCGGACAAGGCAAUUAAGGGACCACCGAGACAAAAUCUAUGAGUAAACUAACAUCCCAAACAUUCUAGGCAGCCCAAUCACAAACUAAAAGAAAAAACAGGGGGAAGCUCACCGGGGCACCGGGGCGGCGGGGUGUCGGGGCGGCUAGGGCGUCGGGAUGGCGGGGCGCCUGGUUGUCGAGGCGGCGGGGCGCCAGGCCGGCGGGGCGCCGAGGGUGNNNNNNNNNNNNNNNNNNNNNNNNNNNNNNNNNNNNNNNNNNNNNNNNNNNNNNNNNNNNNNNNNNNNNNNNNNNNNNNNNNNNNNNNNNNNNNNNNNNNNNNNNNNNNNNNNNNNNNNNNNNNNNNNNNNNNNNNNNNNNNNNNNNNNNNNNNNNNNNNNNNNNNNNNNNNNNNNNNNNNNNNNNNNNNNNNNNNNNNNNNNNNNNNNNNNNGGCGAGGGUGGUGGGGGUCGGGAGCGGCGACGAGGGCGGUGGGGGUCGGCGGCGACGGGGGCGGCUCGGGCACGGGGACGGCACAGUGAGGGGAGAGAGACAGAGGGGAGAGAAAGAGGAUGGCGUCGGCGCUGACCUUUUUUGUUAGGUGAAAUCUCUUUGUCAAUACUAAUGGCACAAUACUAAUGGCGCACCACCCCUCGGUGCGCCAUAAGUACAUCCAUACUAAUGGCGCACCUCACCGUGGUGCGCCAUUAGUAUUUUUUUUUUGAUUUCUGCUCGAGCCAACAGGUUAUCUUCCACCUGACCUGAUCCACACCAAGUUGCCUCUACUAGCUCGACUGGUUAGCAGCCAGUUCUCACACCAGGAGGUCCUGGGUUUGACUCCUAGGCUCCACCAUUUUUUUUAUGCAUUUAAAAUGCUGUUUGAUACUUAUUUGUGUUUAAAUAUGUUCAAACUUGUUUAAAUCAUAACAGUAAUAUUUUUUUUAUAAGACAGUAAUAAUUUUUUAAAAAAUAUCAUCAAACAGUAAUGCCGGUGGAGCGGGGGAGGUGCGCGGGGUGCGGGGGGUCGGCGACGGCGGUUNNNNNNNNNNNNNNNNNNNNNNNNNNNNNNNNNNNNNNNNNNNNNNNNNNNNNNNNNNNNNNNNNNNNNNNNNNNNNNNNNNNNNNNNNNNNNNNNNNNNNNNNNNNNNNNNNNNNNNNNNNNNNNNNNNNNNNNNNNNCGGUUGAGUAGGGGAGGGGUGCGGGGGGUCGGCGGCGGUGGUUGAGUAGGGGAAUCGAGGGUGCGGGGGUCGGCGGCGGCGGUUGAGUAGGGGAAUCGAGGGUGCGGGGGGUCGGCGGCGGCGGCCGGUGGACCGGGGGGUGCUCGGCGGCGAGGGGGACCGGAUCUGGCGAGGUGGGAUAGCGAUCGAGAUGGAGGGGGAUCGAGAUGGAGUGUCCAUGAAAUUUAAAAAUAUUCAUGAUACUUCAAAAAGUGCCCAUGAAAUACAAUCGAGAAAUGAAGGCUACGAUUUAAAUACAAUCGAUCUUAGCUAGCUAUCUGUUCACAAUCUUCUUGCCCUUGUUUUUCGCAAAUGGAGUUCUUCUGUGGAACGGACGUCCUUUAGGUAGGGUGGUCCUGCUUCUUCUUGUGGGGUAUGCUGCUACUUCAUCAUCGUCGUCAUGUUCGAUCCUCGGGUCGCCGUACUUGUCGAAGUCUUGCUCAUUGGCUACUCCAUCCAUUCCGAUGAUGUUCCUUUUUCCUCUCCUCACGACAACACGACUGGGCUUUGACGGGUCGGUAAUGAAGAAGCAUUGGUCCACUUGGGAAGCCAGUACCCAUGGCUCAUUUUUCGCGGUGACGUUUGCGCCCGCGGUCUUGGAUUUGGCUUCGGGUAUAACCAUGGUGGUGAAAUACCGGUCUUCUUUUAGGACGCUCUUGGCCCAUCUGACACGGAACAUCGGGACCUUCUCUCCAGCGUAGCUCAGCUCCCAGAUCUCCUCGAUCCUUCCGUAGUAUCUGUCCUUGUUGUUACCGGUGUAGGAUUCCAUCGUUACCCCGGAGUUCUGAUAACCAUCGCUCUUCAUGUCCUUGGCCUCGGUGUAGAAUGUGUAGCCGUUGAUAUCGUACGCCUCAUAGGUCAUCAGGUUGUGCUCGGCGCCCUGUGACAAGGCUAAUAUGAGUUGUUCUUCCACGGAAGAAUCCUCAUGUAAAGGGUACGACAGAAGUUUCUGCUUGAACCAACGCGUGAAACAUGAGUUGUGCUCUUUGAGUAUAUCUCCGUCCGUCCUCUGUUGGCCUCGGUCAUUGUACGUCUUCUUAAUAAAGGUUUUGUGCUCUACCACCCAAGGAUCGACCACGUCUAUGUGUUGUAGCGCGACUAGGUUUUCUCUUUCAAAGUCCGCGAGUCGACCCUCGAAGUCGACAUGCAUUUCGCGGCGACCCUCACGGUGACCCCAUCUAGCGAGCCUGCCGAGGUGCCUGUUGACGGGCAGACCAACGGGGUUCUCGAUGCCUAAAUAAUUCGUGCAGUAAGAGAUGCACUCUUCGGUCAGAAAGUCCCUGGCUAUGCUUCCCUCUGGACGUGACAUGUUGCGAACGUAUCCUUUGAUGACACCAUUCAUCCUUUUGAAUGGCAUCAUGCUGUGCAGGAACGUCGGCCCGAGUUGGAUGAUAUCGUCCACGAUAUGGACCAGCAGAUGCACCAUAACGUUGAAGAAUGUGGGCGGGAAGUACAUCUCAAGCUCGCAUAGUAUCACCACGAUCUCUUCCUAUAGCCUUCUGAGUUGCCUCACGCCAACAGACUUCCGAGAGAUGACAUUGAAAAAGUUGCAUAGGCCAAAUAGGGUUUCACGGACGUGCGCGUCCAUGAUCCCACGGAUUGCAACUGGAAGUAUCUGCGUCAUCAGCAUGUGACAGUCGUGAGACUUCAUCCCGCUGAACUUCAGCUUCGCUGGGUCUAGGUAUCUGCUUAUCUUCCCCGCGUAACCAUAAGGAAGUUUUACUCCUAUGAGGCAGGUGAAAAACUGCUCGAUCUCCUCCUGACUUAGAGUGAAGCACGCGGGAGGGUAGUCAUUUCCGGUGUUCCUGGCCUUUUUGCCUUUGCGACGACUUUCCGUGUCCUGGUUCGCCUCAUCAUCAUCAUCAUCAUAAUCAUCAUCUUCAUAUAUAGCGUGAAGCUCCUGCCUGAUGCCCAUUGAUUUCAAGUCUGCCCUUGCUUUCGGCCCAUCUUUGGUCCUCUCUGGCAUGUUGAGCAGGGUACCAAGCAGACUCUCGGACACGUUCUUCGUGAUAUGCAUGACAUCAAGGCUGUGAGGCACACGGUGGAUCUUCCAGUACGGCAAGUCCCAGAAAACAGACCUCGUUUUCCAUACCUUCAGUAGCGGCUCUGGCGCCUUUCGCUUCUUUCCCGGCUCUGGCGCCUUUUGCUUCUUUCCCGGCAGUGGGCAGUCUUUCCAAUUUUUCAACAGCUCGUCUAUUUCCUCGCCGCUCCUCGUACGCGGGCGUCCUCGGGGUUCGGUUUCACCAUCGAACAGAUCCUUGCAUUUUCUCCAUGGGUCAUCGUCGCGAAGCCACCUUCGAUGUCCCAUGAACACGGUUUUCGAAGACCCGGGAUCUCUAUCUAGCUGGCGAUACGUUGUGUCAUCCAUGCACCUGAUGCAUCCAGAAAAUCCGUGGACCACCUGCCCCGCGACAUAUCUGUAACCGAGAUAGUCGUGCACCGUCAUGAGCAGCGCGGCUCUCAUAGGGAAAUAUUCUUUCUCUGCGGCGUCCCACAUAUUGGCUGGCGUUUUCCACAGCGUGUCAAGCUCCUCUUUCAGCAGCCCCAGAUACAGAUUGAUGUCGUUUCCUGGUUGUUUCGGUCCUUCAAUUAGCAUACUCAUGUGAAUGUACUUCCUCUUCAUGCACAACCAGGGGGGAAGGUUGUACAUCCACACAAACACAGGCUAGGUGCUAUGUGUGCUUCUCUGGCUGCCAAACGGAUUGACUCCAUCGGUGCUCGCGCCCAGCACGAUGUUCCUUGGAUCGUUCCCAAAUUCUGGGUCUUCGAAGUUCAACGCUUGCCACUGGCUCGCAUCCUUAGGGUGACUCAGCAUCUUUUCUUUCUUAUCUAUCUCCGGAUCAUUUGCGUCAUCUUCUCGCUUCUUCUCCUCCCUAUCCGCGUGCCAACGUAGGAGCUUUGCUACCUUAGGGUCAAGCGAAAUACCGCUACAGACGAGGAGUGAUCGGAAAGUACCACACCACUUUUUGAGGAGCUUUCUUCCUCUUCUUGUAUCGAGUGACGCCGCACACCGGACAUAUGGUAGACUCCGCGUGCUCGUCCCGAUAAAUGAUGCAAUUUUUCAUGCACACAUGGUAUUUCACGUGCGGUAAAUCUAGAGGACACACGAUUUUCUUCGCCUCCUCCAAACUGGUCGGGCACUUGUUCCCCUUGGGAAGACGUUCGUGCCAGAAUGACAUGUUCUCGUCGAAGCAUGCGUCGGUCAUUUUGUGUUUUACCUUCAUCUCCAGAGCCAUGAGCAUUACUUUCAGGCGGGUAUCCUCGGGCCUGCAUCCUUCAUACAAUGGAGUAACCGCAUCUAACUCAAGUUGAUCCAUCUUGGCUUUCUCUCGGGCGGCAGCUCUUGCGUUAUCCGUCUGCUUGAGAAGCAGCUCUUGAAUAUGAGGGUCCUGCACCCAGCCCAUUGAUGGUCCAGCGUCGUCUGCUCCACCGGCUUCAUCAUCUUCAUGAUCAUGCCCGUCGUCUGCUCCGGCAUCUUCCUCAUCAUCAUGUCCUGCAUCUUCUACAUGAUGACUGUGUACAGCAUCACCGUCGUGAUCAUCUCCUGGGGAUUCUUCGUCUUCUCUCCCGCCCGAGCCGUGGUGGUUGUCUUGCUGUCCUUCCUCAUUUCUUGCCCGGCCCCCAUGGAUGACUUCGUAGUCAUCUUCAUCACCUUGCCACCGAUAGCCAUCCAUGAAACCACGCAAGAGCAGGUGGUCCCGCACCUGCCCGGAUUCCGGGUCGCAAUAAGGCUCUUCAUCUUGCAUCUUUGACACGGACAUCUUAUCUCCGUCUCGUUCUUUUGAAGCAUCUCGGCCUUCGCGGACCUCAAAAACCUAUUCACGAUGCCUUCGGUCAUCGUGCGGACCAUGGUCGCCUGCGGGGUAGAGCAAAAUGAUAUUUUAGAACCAAGAAAAAAUUUGGCAUGACUUUCCCUAAAAAUAGGACCAAAAAGAAUGCUUAAUGGCAAAAUUCUCGCCGAAACGGAAAUGAAUCAACAUUCCGGCAAAAUAUUGGCAACUAUCGCAUUUCAAAUACCGGUACACCUCCAAACACAAACACAUAUGCAACACCACAAACAUAUGCAACACCACGAACAUACAUAGAUCUAGCUAGGCCAUAAAAAGUGCAUGUGCACAUUGUUGUAGGGAGAACAACAUAAAUAUAGCUUCCCCCCUUACUUACCUAUCAAAACAAGGUAAUUUAACCACUUAAAUUGAAUGAAUCUAUGGUGGAAAUGAGGUGAAAAAUAGGAGGCACCCGAGACAAGGAGGAGGUGGAGAGAAUGAAGUGGGGAAAAAGUGAGUGUGGGUAGGAGAGGCUGUCCAACAUAUCUUGUUGCUGCCCACUUACUAAUGGCGCACCAACUCUAAAUGCACCAUUAGUAAUCCAGGUUACUAAUGGCGCACCUUCUGGUGGUGCGCCAUUAGUAGUUUUGCAAAAAAAACAUAAUAAUGGCGCACUGUCCCACACUGCGCCAUUACUAGUUUAAACUAGUAAUGGCGCACGGUGGAACAGUGCGCCAUUAGUAGUUUUGCAAAAAAAGGAAUAAAAAUAUAAUAAAAAAAACAACAUUAGUGGCGCACUUUCCGACAGGUGCGCCAUUACUAGUUACAACUAGUAAUGGCGCACUGUGUCUGGAUGCGCCAUUAGUAUGUUUGGACAGGCGCACUAGUUCAAAAAAAAUUGAUACUAAUGGCGCACCCUGGGCCUGGUGCGCCAUUAGUAGUUUCAACUCUAAUGGCGUAUUAGAAGGUGGUGCGCCAUUAGUAUACUAAUGGCGCACCGCUUGUCUAGUGCGCCAUUACUGUCAAUCCCAUCUAUAGCCCUUCUUCUAGUAGUGUAAAAUAAGAGAGAAUAGCCAUAAGUAUUGUGAUAUAAAGUGAAAUAAUAGUCCAUAAUGCAAUAAAUAUUGAUAUAGAAGCAUGAUGCAAAAUGGACGUAUCAACUCCCCCAAGCUUAGACCUCGCUUGUCCUCAAGCGAAAAGCCGAUAACAAUAAAUAUGUCCUCAUGUUUAGAGGUAGAGGCGUCGAUAAAAAUAAAAUACGGACAUGAAGGCAUCAUGAUUAUUCUCAUAACAGCAACAUAUAUAGAUUUUGUCAUAUGAUUACUUAUGUUCAAGUGAUGAUCUAUUCACAAUGCAAAAGCAUAAAUCAUAAACCUUAUUGGGCUCCAAAAAACUAUAAUCUCAGUCAUUGAAGCAAUUGCAAUUUAUCAUAACAUCGGAAAGAGUCUAUUUCAGAGCUAAAAAGCAAGUCCACAUACUCAACUAUCAUUUAGUCCUCCAUAAUUGCUAACACUCAUGUGAUACUUGUGGUUACGAAGUUUUAAUCGGACACAGAGAAAGAUAGGGGCUUAUAGUUUUGCCCCACAACCUUUUACCUCAAGGGUAAUGUCAACAAUAAUGGUUCAUGCUCCCCUUCAUCCAAUUAGAUAUAUAUAUCAUGUUCUUUCCAACAUGCUGAGCUUGCCAAAGGAUAAAAUGAAAAAGAAAAGGUGAAGAUCACCAUGACUCUUGCAGAAGGUAGAAGGUAAUAAUAAAGGAUAAGCCCUUCGCAGAGGGAAGCAGAGAUUGCCAUGCGCUUUUAUGGUUGGAUAUAUAAAAUCUCAAUGCGAAAGAACGUCACUUUAUAUUGCCCCUUGUGAUAUGAACCUUUAUUAUGCAGUCCGUCGUUUUUAUUACUUCCACAUCACAAGAUCGUAUAAAGCUUAUUUCUCCCACACCAAUCAAUCAUACAUAUUUAGAGCAAUUUUUAAUACUUUGCACCGAUGACAACUUACUUGAAGGAUCUUACUCAAUCCAUAGGUAGAUAUGGUGGACUCUCAUGGCAAAACUGGUUUAGGGAUUUUGGAAGCACAAGUAGUAUUUCUACUUAGUGCUGAGGAUUUGGCUAGCAUGAGGGGGAAAGGCAAGCUCAACAAGUUAGACGAUCCAUGACAACAUACUUUAUCUCAGAUAUAAGAAAUACAUAACUCAUUAUGUUGUCUUCCUUGUCCAACAUCAACUUUUUAGCAUGUCAUAUUUUAAUGAGUGCUCCAAAUGAUAAAAGAUGUCAAUGAUAAUAUAUCUAUAUGUGAAAACCUCUCUUUCCUUAUUACUUCCUAUUAAUUGCAACAAUGAUCAAAGCUAUGUCUGCCAACUCCCAACAACUUUUAAUCAUCAUACUCUUUCUAUGUGAAGUCAUUACUCUCAAUAAGAUCAAUAUGAACUUUUUGUUUCUUUUUAUUCUUUUUCUCUUUUCUUUUGUUCACCCAAGAUCAUGACAAAAUAAUCAAGCCCUUGACUCAACACUAAUCUUUAUUAUAUAUAGCUCACGGACUCGAUUACAUAGAGAGAUCAUAAAGCAAAACUCAAAACUAGAUCAUGCCAUAAACUUUAUUCUACUAGAUCAAGAUACUACUAAUAGGAUUGAACUAAGAAAAACGGUAAAGAUAAGAGUUGUGAUUGUGAUACGAUACCGGGGCACCUCCCCCAAGCUUGGCAGUUGCCAAGGGGAGUGCCCAUACCCAUGUGAUUAUGUCUCCUUGGUUGGUGAAGAAGGUGGAGGCGUCGGAUAAUCGCACAUCAAGCGUAAGAGGUCCUCCAGCUUGCGAAUAAUGCCCUUGAGUGCGACAAUAUGCUCCUUCAACAAAAUAUUUUAUUGUGUGAGAUACUUGUUUUGUACACGAGCUAACUCAAUCAUCUUUAAAGCUUCGAUCUCAGUUGGGGUAAGAAGGUUAUGAUCAAGUUGGAGGGUGUCUUUUGCUGCGGGAGCUUGAUCCUCUGUGGCCUUCUUGAUCCUUUCAUCCUUGUUGACCCUCGCGGGUUCUUCCCUCUUCAGAUCUAUCUUCAUUAGCCAAGCAUCGUUGUCACCAUUGUUGGAGGAGGGAGACGACAUGAUGCCUAGCCUGGAAAACCCUGACAGAAAACAGCCCGAAACAAGAACAGAGGAGGUUUGCGUGAUACGGGAGUCAAAACCUCCGGGAGAUUAUAUAAUGAAUUUUUACCGACCAAAAUACGUAACGUGCAAGAAAACGGAGUCCGGAAGGCACACGAGGUGCUCACGAGGUAGGAGGUGCACCCAGGGGGGUAGGGCACGCACACCACCCUCGUGGGGCCCUCGUGUCCUUCCUGUUGGGGAACGUAGCAGAAAUUCAAAAUUUUCCUACGUGUCACCAAGAUCUAUCUAUGGAGAAACCAGCAACGAGGGGAAGGAGAGUGCAUCUACAUACCCUUGUAGAUUGCUAUGCGGAAGCGUUCAAGAGAACGGGGUUGAAGGAGUCGUACUCGUCGUGAUCCAAAUCACCGGAGAUCCUAGUGCCGAACGGACGGCACCUCCGCGUUCAACACACGUACAGCCCGGUGACGUCUCCCAUGCCUUGUUCCAGCAAGGAGAGAGGGAGAGGUUGAGGAAGACUCCAUCCAGCAGCAGCACAAUGGCGUGGUGGUGGUGGAGGAGCGUGGUACUCCAGCAGGGCUUCACCAAGCACCGCAAGAGACGAGGAGGAGAGAGGUAGGGCUGCACCAGGGAGAGAUCAAAUCGUGUGUCUUGCAGCCCCUAAUACCUCAAGUAUAUAUAGGGGAAGGGGAGGGGCUGUGCCCCCAUCUAGGGUUGCCUCUCUAGGGGUGGCGGCUGCCCCCAAACCCAUCUAGGGUUGCGGCCAAGGGGGAGAGAGGGGGGGCGCACAUAGGGUGGGCCUUAAGGCCCAUCUGCCCUAGGGUUUGCCCCCCUCCCCUCUAGGAGGCGCCUUGGGCCUUGGUGGGAGGCGCCCCAGCCCACCUAGGGGCUGGUCCCUUCCCACUAUUUGCCCAUGUAUGCCUCCGGGGCCCGUGGCCCCUCCCGGUGGACCGCCGGACCCCUCCGGUGGUCCCGGUACACUACCGGUGAUGCCCGGAACACUUCCGAUGGCCAAAAACCAUACUUCCUAUAUAUCAAUCUUUACCUCUGGACCAUUCCGGAACUCCUCGUGACGUCCGGGAUCUCAUCCGGGACUCCAAACAACAUUCGGUAACCACAUACAAACUUCCUUUAUAACCCUAGCGUCAUCGAACCUUAAGUGUGUAGACCCUACGGGUUCGGGAACCAUGCAGACAUGACCGAGACGUUCUCCGGUCAAUAACCAACAGCGGGAUCUGGAUACCCAUGUUGGUUCCCAAAUGUUCCACGAUGAUCUCAUCGGAUGAACCACGAUGUCGAGGAUUCGAUCAAUCCCGUAUACAAUUCCCUUUGUCUAGUGGUAUUGUACUUGCCCGAGAUUCGAUCGUCGGUAUCCCGAUACCUUGUUCAAUCUCGUUACCGGCAAGUCUCUUUACUCGUUCCGUAACACAUCAUCCCAUGAUCAACUCCUUGAUCACAUUGUGCACAUUAUGAUGAUGUCCUACCGAGUGGGCCCAGAGAUACCUCUCCGUUUACACGGAGUGAAAAAUCCCAGUCUUGAUUCGUGCCAACCCAACAAACACUUUCGGAGAUACCUGUAGUGUACCUUUAUAGCCACCCAGUUACGUUGUGACGUUUGGCACACCCAAAGUAUUCCUACGGUAUCCAGGAGUUGCACAAUCUCAUGGUCUAAGGAAAUGAUACUUGACAUUAGAAAAAGCUUUAGCAUACGAACUACACGAUCUUUGUGCUAGGCUUAGGAUUGGGUCUUGUCCAUCACAUCAUUCUCGCAAUGAUCUGAUCCCGUUAUCAACGACAUCCAAUGUCCAUGGUCAGGAAACCGUAACCAUCUAUUGAUCAACGAGCUAGUCAACUAGAGGCUUACUAGGGACAUGGUGUUGUCUAUGUAUCCACACAUGUAUCUGAGUUUCCUAUCAAUACAAUUCUAGCAUGGAUAAUAAACGAUUAUCAUGAACAAGGAAAUAUAAUAAUAACUAAUUUAUUAUUGCCUCUAGGGCAUAUUUCCAACACUUCCCUGACUGCUACUUAUUUUUCUAUGUUUCUAAAUAUUCUGAAAUGGAGAAAUAUUGCCUUAAAAAUUGUUUUGGAGUCGGUUUACUUACCAUACCACAUACCUAUUCCUUUUUGGAGUCUGAAAUGUUCCGGAAAGUGUCCCUUAUGUAUUCCUCAGGGGUUACGGUUUCAAUAAUAUUGGUUUAAACAUUUAUGGGAUUACCUGAGAUAUAAUGUUUGAUUCUUUGACCGUUUACCACCUUCGGAUUUGUGCCUUCGAAGUUGUUGAUUUUUAUGGUACCGGAAUGAUAGACCUCUUCGAUAACAUAGGGGCCUUCCCAUUUAGAGAGAAGUUUUCCUACAAAAAAUCUUAAACGAGAGUUGUAUAGCAGUACAUAAUCGCCUACAUUAAACUCACGCUUUUGUAUCCUUUUGUCAUGCCAUCUUUUAACUUUUUCUUUAAACAACUUGGCAUUUUCAUAAGCUUGGGUUCUCCAUUCAUCAAGUGAGCUAAUAUCAAAGAACCUCUUCUCACCGGCAAGUUUAAAAUCAUAGUUGAGCUCUUUAAUAGCCCAAUAUGCCUUAUGUUCUAGUUCGAGAGGUAAGUCACAUGCUUUUCCAUAAACCAUUUUAUAUGGAGACAUACCCAUAGGAUUUUUGUAUGCAGUUCUAUAAGCCCAUAAUGCAUCAUCAAGUUUCUUGAACCAAUUCUUUCUAGACCUAUUAACAGUCUUUUGCAAAUUAAUUUGAGCUCUCUAUUGCUCAACUCUACUUGACCACUAGACUGUGGGUGAUAAGGAGAUGCAAUUCUAUGAUUAACAUCAUAUUUAGCAAGCAUUUUACGGAAAGCACCAUGAAUAAAGUGUGAACCACCAUCAGUCAUUAAAUAUCUAGGGACUCCAAACCUCGGGAAAAUAACUUCCUUAAUCAUUUUAAUAGAAGUGUUAUGAUCAGCACUACUAGUUGGAAUAGCUUCUACCCACUUAGUAACAUAAUCAACAGCAACUAGAAUAUGUGUGUAUCCAUUAGAGGCAGGAAAAGGUCAAAUAUAGUCAAAGCCCCAAACAUCAAACAAUUCAAUAACAAGAGAAUAAUUCAUAGGCAUUUCUUGACGUCUACUAAUAUUACCAAUUCUUUGACAUUCAUCACAAGACAAGACAAACUUACGGGCAUCCUUAAAGAGAGUAGGCCAAUAAAAACCAGAUUGCAAUACCUUAUGUGCAGUUCUAUCUCCAGUGUGGUGUCCUCCAUAAGACUCGGAAUGGAACUUGCGUAGGAUUUGUUCCUGUUCAUGCUUAGGUACACAACGUCUAAUAACACCAUCUACUCCUUCUUUAUAAAGAUGUGGGUCGUAAUGUCUCAAAUCAUAGAAGAACUUUUUCUUUUGUUGGUAUGUGAAGUUAGGUGGUACAAAUUUAGCAACAAUAUAAUUAGCAUAAUCAGCAUACCAUGGAGUACUACGAGAAGUACUUAUAACAUUUAAUUGUUCAUCAAGAAAGCUAUCAUUAAUAGGUAGUGGGUCAUCAAGAAUAUUUUCUAACCUAGAUAAGUUGUCUGCAACGGGGUUCUCAGCUCCCUUUCUAUCAACAAUAUGCUAAUCAAAUUCUUGUAGCAAGAGAACCCAUCUAAUAAGUCUAGGUUUAGCAUCUUUCUUUUCCAUAAGAUAUUUAAUAGCAGCAUGAUCAGUUUGAAUAGUUACUUUAGAAUCAACAAUAUAAGAUCUGAACUUAUCACAAGCAAAUACAACUACUAAAAGCUCUUUUUCAGUAGUAGCACAAUUUCUUUGAGCAUUGUCUAGAUUCUUACUAGCAUAAUGAAUAACAUUUAAUUUCUUAUCAACUCUUUGCCCUAGAACAGCACCUACAGCAUAAUCACUAGCAUCACACAUAAUUUCAAAUGGUAGGUUCCAAUCAGGUGGCUGAACAACAGGUGUAGAGACUAAUGCUUUCUUAAAUAUUUCAAAUGCUUCUACACAAUCAUUAUCAAAGACAAAUGGUAUAUCUUUUGCAAUAAAUUAGUCAGAGGACGAGAAAUUCUUGAGAAGUCCUUAAUGAACCUCCUGUAAAAUCUGGCAUGACCAAGGAAACUUCUUAUACCUUUGAUGUCCUUGGGACAUGGCAUCUUUUCAAUAGCAUCAACAUUGGCUUUAUCAACUUCAAUACCUCUUUCAGAAACAUUGUGCCCCAAGACAAUACCUUCAUUAACCAUAAAGUGGAACUUUUCCCAAUUCAAGACAAGAUUAGUUUCUUCACAUCUCUGCAAAACUCGAUCAAGAUUGCUCAAGCAAUCAUCAAAAGAGGAACCAUAGACGGAAAAGUCGUCCAUGAAAACCUCACAAAUCUUUUCACAAAAGUCAGAGAAUAUAGCCAUCAUGCAUCUUUGAAAGGUAGCAGGUGCAUUACAUAAACCAAAAGGCAUGUGUCUAUAAGCAAAAGUACCAAAAGGGCAUGUAAAAGUAGUCUUUGAUUGAUCUCUAGCCGACACAGGUAUUUGAGAGAAACCAGAAUAACCAUCUAGAAAGCAAUAGUGUGUAUGUUUUCAUAAUCUUUCUAGCAUUUGAUCAAUAAAAGGUAAGGGGUUAUGAUCUUUUUAGUAGCUUUAUUUAAUUUGCGGAAAUCAAUUACCAUCCUAUAACCUGUGAUAAUUCUUUGUGGAAUCAAUUCAUCUUUAUCAUUAGGAACAACAGUAAUACCUCCCUUCUUAGGGACACAAUGGACAUGACUUACCCACUCACUAUCAGUAACAGGAUAGAUUAUACCUGCCUCUAGAAGCUUUAGUAUUUCUUUUCUUACCACUUCUUUCAUUUUAGGAUUCAGACAUCGUUGAGGAUCACGAACUGGUUUGGCAUCUGCUUCCAAAUUUAUUUUGUGUUGACAUAGAGUGGGACUAAUGCCCUUAAGAUCAUCAAGAGUAUAUCCAAUAGCAGCACGAUGCUUCUUUAGAGUUUUCAAUAAUCUUUCUUCUUCAUGCUCUGAAAGGUUAGCACUAAUAAUAACAUGAUAUAUCUUAUUUUCAUCAAGAUAAGCAUAUUUAAGAUUAUCAGGCAAAGGUUUAAGCUCAAACACGGGAUCACCCUUGGGUGGAGGAGGAUCCCCUAAGAUUUCAACAGGAAAAUUGUGUUGCAGAAUAGGUUCCUAUUUAAAGAAUACUUCAUCUAUUUCCCUUCUUUCAUUCAUGAACAUAUCAUUUUCAUGGUCUAUCAAAUAGUGUUCUAAAGGAUCACUAGGAGGUACGACAAUAGAAGCAAGACCAAUAAUUUCAUCCUUACUAGGUAAUUUUUCCUCACGAUGUUGUUUAUUGAAUUUAGAGAAGUUAAACUCAUAAACCACAUCAUCCAAGCCAACAGUAACAACAUUCUUAGUGCAAUCUAUGGUAGCAUUGACAGUAUUUAAGAAGGGCCUACCAAAUAUAAUGGGACAAUAGCUAUCUUGCGGAGAGGUAAGAACAAGAAAAUCAGCGGGAUAUUUAGUUUUCCCACACAAGACUUCAACAUCUCUAACAAUUCCCAUUGCUGAAAUAGUAUCUCUAUUGGCAAGUUUAAUUGUGACAUCAAUAUCUUCUAACUCAGCAGGUGCAAUUUCAUUCUUAAUUUCUUCAUACAAGUCAUAAGGUAUAACACUAGCACUAGCACCCAUAUCACAUAAGCCAUGAUAACAAUGAUCUCGUAUUUUAACAGAAAUAACAGGCACGCCUACCACAGGUCUAUGUUUAUCUUUAUCACAAGGUUUAGCAAUUCUAGCAGUUUCACCUUCGAACUGAAUAACAUGCCCAUCAAUAUUAUCAGACAAGAGAUCUUUAACAAUAGCAAUAUUAGGUUCUACUUUAACUUGCUCAGGAGGUGUAUACGUUCUAAUAUUGCUUUUACGAACAACGGUUGAAGCUUUAGCAUGAUCCUUUAUUCUAACAGGGAAAGGUGGUUUCUCAAUAUAAGAAGUAGUAACAAUAGGAUCAUUAUAAGUGACAGUCUUUUCUUCAACUUUAAUAGGUGCAGCUACUUUUACUUCUAUGGGAGAAUGAUAUUUAAACCACUUCUCCUUAGGGAGAUCAACAUAAGUAGCAAAAGAUUCACAGAAAGAAGCUACUAUCUCAGAGUCAAGUCCAUAUUUAGUGUUGAACUUACGGAAAAUAUCGGUGUCCAUAAAAUAUUUAACACAAUCAAACUUAGGUGUCAUACCUGACUCCUUACCUUCGUUGAGGUCCCAAUCUUCAGAGUUGCGUUUAAUUCUAUCCAAUAAAUUCCAUCUGAAUUCAAUAGUCUUCAUCAUAAAAGAGCCAGCACAAGAAGUAUCAAGCAUGGUGCGAUUGUUAUCAGAAAGCCGAGCAUAUAAAUUUUGAAUAAUUAUUUCUCUCGGGAGCUCAUGAUUGGGGCAUGAAUAUAACAUUGAUUUAAGCCUCCCCCAAGCUUGAGCGAUGCUUUCUCCUUCGCAAGGCCAUAAAUUAUAUAUAUAAUUGCGAUCACAAUGAACAAGAUGCAUAGGGUAAUACUUUUGAUGAAAUUCCAACUUCAAUCUUUUAUAGUCCCAUGAUCUCAUAUCAUCACAUAGCCUAUACCAUAUCAAUGCAUCUCCCUUCAAAGAUAAAGGGAAGACCUUCUUCUUAGCAACAUCAUCGGGUAUACCUGCAAGCUUAAAUAAUCCACAAACUUCAUCCACAUAUAUUAAGUGCUCAUCAGGAUGCUUUGUUCCAUCUCCUGUAAAAGGAUUAGCUAGCAGUUUUUCUAUCAUACCCAAAGGAUACUCAUAAGGAAUUUCAUUUUCAAUAGGUUCAGUAGGUUGAGGAGCAACUCUUUGCUCUACUGGACGGGGUGAAGAUACCCCGAACAAGCCCCUCAGAGAAUUACUUUCCAUAGUAACAAGUGACAGUAAAUUUCAGCACAAUAUAUAAAUUUUUCCUUACCAAAUUCCACCUACCAAAGGCGCUACACUCCCCGGCAACGACGCUAGAAAAGAGUCUUGAUGACCCACAAGUAUAGGGGAUCUAUCGUAGUCCUUUCGAUAAGUAAGAGUGUCGAACCCAACGAGGAGCAGAAGGAAAUGAUAAGCGGUUUUCAGCAAGGUAUUCUCUGCAAGUACCGAAAUAAGUGGUAACAGAUAGUUUUGUGAUAGGAUAAAUUGUAACGAGCAACAAGUAACAAAAGUAAAUAAAGUGCAGCAAGAUGUCCCAAUCCUUUUCAACAAAAGGACAAGCCGAAACAAACUCUUAUAAUAGGAAAAGCGCUCCUGAGGACACAUGGGAAUAUCGUCAAGCUAGUUUUCGUCACGUUCAUAUGAUUUGCAUUCGAUACUUUGAUAAUUUGAUAUGUGGGUGGACCGGUGCUUGGGUGUUGUUCUUACUUGAACAAGCAUCCCACUUAUGAUUAACCUCUAUUGCAAGCAUCCGCAACUACAACAAAAUUAUUAAGGUAAACCUAACCAUAGCAUGAAACAUAUGGAUCCAAAUCAGCCCCUUAUGAAGCAACGCAUAAACUAGGGUUUAAGCUUCUGUCACUCUAGCAACCCAUCAUCUACUUAUUACUUCCCAAUGCCUUCCUCUAGGCCCAAAUAAUGGUGAAGUGUUAUGUAGUCGACGUUCACAUAACACCACUAGAGUCUAGACAACAUACAUCUUAUCAAAAUAUCAAACGAAUACCAAAUUCACAUGACUACUCAUAGCAAGACUUCUCCCUUGUCCUCAGGAACAAACGUAAUUACUCAAAAAGCAUAUUCAUGUUCAUAAUCAGAGGGGUAAUAAUAUGCAUAUAGGAUCUGAACAUAUGAUCUUCCACCAAAUAAACCAACUAGCAUCAACUACAAGGAGUAAUCAACACUACUAGCAACCUACUAGUACCAAUCCCGGACUUUGAGACAAGAAUUGGAUACAAGAGAUGAACUAGGGUUUGGAGAUGAGAUGGUGCUGGUGAAGAUGUUGAUGGAGAUUGCCCUCUCCCGAUGAGAGGAGCGUUGGUGAUGACGAUGGUGAUGAUUUCCCUCUCCCAGAGGGAAGUUUCCCCAGUAGAACAGCUCUGCCGGAGCUCUAGAUUGGAUCCGCCAAGGUUCCACCUCGUGGCGGCGGAGUCUCGUCCAGAAAAGUUCCUUCUUCUUUUUUUCUCAUCGAAAGACCUCAUAUAGGAGAAGAUGGGCGUCGGAGAGCCACCAGGGGGCCCACGAGGUAGGGGGGCGCGCCCUAGGGGGGCGCCCCCCCACCCUCGUGAGCAGGGUGUGGGCCCCCUGGCCUUCAUCUUUGGCGUGGAUUUUUCUUUAUUUCUUUUAAGACGUUCCGUGGAGUUUUAGGACUUUUGGAUUUGCGCAGAAUAGGUCUCUAAUAUUUGCUCCUUUUCCAGACCAGAAUUCCAGUUGUCGGCAUUCUCCCUCCUUAUGUAAACCUUGUAAAAUAAGAGAGAAUAGCCAUAAGUAUUGUGAUAUAAAGUGAAAUAACAGCCCAUAAUGCAAUAAAUAUUGAUAUAUAAGCAUGAUGCAAAAUGGACGUAUCAGAGCACAAUAGAUCGGGAAUUCUACCGCCAGAAGCCUCCAUAGCCACCGAAAACCAAUCUAGACCCGUUCCGGCACCCUACCGGAGGGGGGAAUCCCUCUCCGGUGGCCAUCUUCAUCAUCCCGACGCUCUUCAUGACGAGGAGGGAGUAGUUCUCCCUCGGGGCUGAGGGUAUGUACCAGUAGCUAUGUGUUUGAUCUUUCUCUCGUGUUCUUGAGGUGUUACGAUCUUGAUGUAUCACGAGCUUUGCUAUUAUAGUUGGAUCUUAUGAUGUUUUCUCCCCCCCCCCCUCUACUCUCUUGUAAUGGAUUGAGUUUCCCCUUUGAAGUUUUCUUAUCGGAUUGAGUCUUUAAAGAUUUGAGAACACUUGAUGUAUGUCUUGCCGUGCGUAUCUGUGGUGACAAUGGGAUAUCACGUGAUUCACUUGAUGUAUGUUUUGGUGAUCAACUUGCGGGUUCCGCCCAUGAACCUAUGCAUAGGGGUUGGCACAUUUUCGUCGUGAUUCUUCGGUAGAAACUUUGGGGCACUCUUUGAGGUUCUAUGUGUUGGUUGAAUAGAUGAAUCUGAGAUUGUGUGAUGCAUAUCGUAUAAUCAUACCCACGGAUACUUGAGUUGACAUUGGAGUAUCUAGGUGACAUUAGGGUUUUGGUUGAUUUGUGUCUUAAGGUGUUAUUCUAGUACGAACUCUAGGGCUGUUUGUGACACCUAUAGGAAUAGCCCAACGGAUUGAUUGGAAAGGAUAACUUUGAGGUGGUUUCGUACCCUACCAUAAUCUCUUCGUUUGUUCUCUGCUAUUAGUGACUUUGGAGUGACUCUUUGUUGCAUGUUGAGGGAUAGUUAUGUGAUCCAAUUAUGUUAUUAUUGUUGAGAGAACUUGCACUAGUGAAAGUAUGAACCCUAGGCCUUGUUUCCUAGCAUUGCAAUACCGUUUACACUCACUUUUAUCUUUAGUUUCCUUGCUGUUUUUAUAUUUUCAGAUUACAUAAACCAUUAUAUACUAUCCAUCUACCACUUGUAUCACCAUCUCUUCACCGAACUAGUGCACCUAUACAAUUUACCAUUGUAUUGGGUGUGUUGGGGACACAAGAGACUCUUUGUUAUUUGGUUGCAGGAUUGCUUGAGAGAGACCAUCUUCAUCCUACGCCUCCUACGGAUUGAUAAACCUUAGGUCAUCCACUUGAGGGAAAUUUGCUACUGUUCUACAAACCUUUGCAUUUGGAGGCCCAACAACGUCUACAAGAAGAAGGUUGUGUAGUAGACAUCAUACGCCGUUGACUCAGAUUUGGGUCUGUUUCGUGGGGGCACCAUCUGAACCACUGGAUAAUUUCUUGGUCACAUGGAGACUAGGAUCCCUGCUUGGCAAGACGGAACAGGUGGAUAUGCCCUUCAUACGCGCUCAUGGGGCGGCAUGUUUGCUUGUAAGUGUUGCUAACAUUGAGUUCUUGCCGGAUGUGGUAAGAUGGACUCAUGAGGGCAUCGUGUAUUUGCUGGAUGUCGAGUAUGAGGAUCCAAACUUAUUUCAGGACUUUGAGGAGGUACAUCAUAUGGAUACUUUUGAGGGUGGAGGUGCCUCCGGGAACCAGGAUGAUAGUGCACAGAACAAUGGUGACAAGGCUAGAGGGACUUCAACUUCAUCUAAAGCAGGAGAGCCUGCUAAUGAGAAGUCUCCGGUUUCUGCUCUGACCAACAUGCUGUAACUUGGAUCCUUGGGGGCUUUCUCCACGCCUCCUCGUCUUUGGAGUGAUCGAGUUGAUUUGGACGACCCGUCGGAACAUCUUCCGCCGGCGGCUGUGGGGUGUGAGUCUUUGAUAGUGCUGGAUGGACAGGGUGGAGCCGGUGGACAGGAGGCCGCCAUUGCCCCUUCCUCAUCUCCGUUGCAUAGGUUGGAGGUGGCGGCUGCUUUGGACGCCGUGGCGGGAGGAGGCGGGCAGAUGGUCCGGCCUUCUUCCUCGACUUCUUCAUCUCCGCAGAAGGGGCCCAGGGAAGGAUCUGCGGCCAUGGGUUCCCGAGGGGACCGGCGGACCUCGGAGGGGCAUGUGGGCAGGAGGCCUGCGUACCCCUUUCUCCCCCUCAGGCGAUGCACCCUCUGACGCCUCCGGUGGCGCCGUCACCGGCGACGGCAACCCUGGUGGGAGGGUCGGCUGGGGCUGGCGGCCAGGGGCCCUGUUCGCCCUUCAUCACUUUGACGCGACAUCCAGCGGCAUCGCCUGUUUCGGGUGCUUCGGCUGCGCCCGUGGUUGGUGGGGCUCCCGUGGCGUCCCCGGGAUUCGAGCAUCGGCCGAUGCCGCGGCAGGCUUCGAGGCCUCUUGGUGACUCUUCGGUUGUUCUAGUUUAGUUGAGCUCUGUUGGGGGCCGGGCAGGAGGCCCUACCCCAAACAGGGUCACGCGGGAGGAGGUCAUUGCUUAUGGAGGGAUACCGGAUCCUGUUUCUAAGGGGCGCCGGAUGAGCAGUCGUCUCCAGGAGCAGCCGGAUGUGGAUGACAUGCAGCUAAGGUGCGCUAUGCGGGCGGCCAAGCUUCGUGACAUUGAGGUCACUACUGGUAUGUCAGUCAAUACAUCAAAUUCCAUUCUUCAUUUUUAUGAGAUUGUUCACAAUGCAAAUUGAUACGUCUCCGGCGUAUCUAUAAUUUUUGAUUGUUCCAUGUCAAUAUUGUACAACUUUCAUAUAUAAUCGGAUGCGGAUUUUCGUGGUGAACAUUUUGAUAUAUUAUACGUUUUUUUCGACGUCGUAUACAAAAGUUAUAGCCGUUUUACUUUUUCAUGACACUUUUUUGCAAAACAUGUCUAAAUUUAAGUUUUUUAAUUUUCCUAACUAGUAGAUGUAGUAAUAUAACUACAUCUCGAAGGAUUUUAUUUUUUUGAAGUUUUUAUCAUUUUCUUUUGCUUUUUACAAAACUGAAAAGGUGAUCGGGGGUGGAGUUUGAAAAUGGGACCUUUAGUCCCGGUUUGAGACACGAACCGGGACUAAAGGGCAUCACACCCUUUAGUCCCUGUUCGUGUCUCAAACCGGGACUAAAUGGCUCAUUUGAACCGGGACUAAUGCCUUUAGCCGCACGAACCGGGACCAAUGCUCAUAUUAGUCCCGGUUCGUGACUGAACCGGGACUAAUGGGCUUAUCUGGCGCGAAAGAAAGCCCUCUUUUCUACUAGUGAGGCAAAUUCAUCAGACGUUGCACCCCCCCCCCCUCCGCAACCACCCUUUCUCGGCGCCCUGGUGCAUCGACCCUGCCGCUCCGGCUCCGCGUGGCAACAACUACACAUUUUUUAUCACAUACAUGAAUUAGAUAUUAACAUGUACUCCCUUGGUAAAGAAAUAUAAGAGCAUUUAGAUCACUAAAGUAGUGAUUUGAACGCUCUUAUAUUUCCUUACGGAGGGAGUAGUAGUUACUAGUUACUCUAUGUGUGAUUACACAUUCUUUAUCUAUUGAUUGAUGUAUUUAUUGAUAAAGUACAUAUUAUUCAUUGCUUAGAAAGCCGACAAUCGAAACGGUGAACCGGCGGUCUGAUCGAUAAACCAGAACCGACAGCCUUGCCGGUUCGAUAACCGGUUCAGUUUUUUAAACUAUGAAAAUAUGUCUAUAUACAUCAGUAUGUAGUCCUUAUUGAAAUCUCGGAAAAGACUUAUAUUUAGGAACGGAGGGAGUAGAUGAGUCUUGGUGCUUCAGUUUCAUUCAUUUCUAGUGGAUGGAAGUAGAGUAGUAUAUAUGGACACUGUUGUAAGGAAACUCUACUCACUUCGUUCCAAAGAAUCAAAGUAUAGUGCACAUUCGAUUUUCUAUAGUCAAAAUUUGUAUACUUUCACUAACUUCAUAGAAAAAUUAUCAAUUUCUAGAAUGCCAAAUCAUUAUCAUUAGAUUCAUGAUGAAAUAUAAUUUUACACGGUAUAAAUUCAGUAUUCUAGUUUAAAAAAUGUUUCUAUUUUUUUAGAAUGGGUUUCUCUAUAAAUCCUGUCAAAGCUUAAGAAACUUGAUUUUUAGAAAACCAACUAUAUAUUAAGGAACUGGGGGAUAAUAAGCCAGAUGAAGCCAGUUAUCAACUCUCAAGUUUUUUGCAGUCAGCUAUAGCGCAACGUCUAGCACUGGACAUCGACCUCGCUUCCACAACGAAUGGCCAGGAAGCUCAUCGCGCUCCAAUGCUUCCAGCUGAACAAGUGCAAUCUACUUACAUCAUUCACAUUCAGGCACCAAACAUUCCAGCAGAAGCAAAAAAUAGCUAUACAAGACCGCACCAAGCGUCGACCCAACAGCCCACACUGCCCAUAUGCCCAGCCAAGCAACAAUAUCCAAAAUUAUAACUGAAAUCCCAUUGAACUUUGUGACACUUACAACUGCAUCAUGGAUCCAACAGACCACUUAUAAGACAACGACCAACACAGAGAAAGCUUCUCCACAUAAACUGUAUGGUACAACAUGCAACAACGACAUACAAAGGCAACACACAAACACACACAUAUAUUACUAAGUAAAUGCAGUAGCAGCCGGCCCACGUACAUCAGCUAGUCUGUUCAUUGCCCUUCAGACUGAAGCGUCUGAUACUGCACAAAAGACACUACCCAAUUAACUCUGCUGAGUGAGAUAUCAGAUCAGGUCUGUAAUUCAGGCUGCACCACCAGAGUCAAGUCGGCUCUCAGAUAUAGCACGCCAUCGAUGAAGAGGCUGUCAUCAGCAAUGAACGUCGACCAUGGCAUUCCGAAAAGAUCACCG
rnacentral:lncRNA from 1 species